GGAAGGUGAAGUAUCAAAAUCAACUCACGAAAAAGAAGGUAUUCUUCUGCUUUUCAUUCUUUAAUAAAAUUGGUUUUCGUUGGAGGUUGGGUUCAAUGAUCAGGGAGAUCAACACGAACCUUCAAAGGAUCCGUCGGGAUGCAGAAGGUUUGGGACUGGCCUACAAGCACCAAGUUGAAGAAGCAUUCCCUACUAUUGCUGCUGGAGCCACAACAAGCCGACAGACCGACUCUACUAUUGUUCGAAGAGAUGUUCUAGGAAGAGACGAGGAUGAAUCAGAAAUAGUUAAGAAGUUGUUGACCGAAUCUGAAAGUGUUAUUUCAGUUAUUCCCAUAACUGGCAUGGGUGGUUUAGGAAAAACAACUCUAGCAAAAGCCGUUUACAAAAAUGAACAAAUUGUUGGACAAUUUGACAAAAAAAUGUGGGUUUGUGUGGCUGAAGAAGUAGAUAAAAUCGAGAAGGUCUUCAAAAUGAUUCUUGAAUCGUUAACAGGAGGAAAGGUUGAAGGGGAUCGUAGGGAGGUAAUAGUUCAAAAAAUUCAGCAUGAACUCAAGGAAAAAAGAUAUUUCCUUGUUCUUGAUGAUUUGUGGAAUGAUCAAGAAGUAUUGUUGAAUGACUUUUUCAGCACUUUGGCGGGACUCAAUGCGAAGAAAGGGAGCUGGUGUCUUGUUACCACUCGUCUGCAAGAAGUGGCAACUAUUCUGUCUAGACAUCCGCAGAUCAAUUUUACUCGCCAUGAGCUGGGAAAGCUAUGCGAUAAUGAUUGCUGGUCUAUCAUGAAAAAAUGGGCAAAUGUAGGGGAAGAAUUACCAAAAGAAUUGGAAGACAUGAGGGAGCAAGUUUUAAGAAGAUGUGACGGUCUACCUCUGGCAGCAACGUUAAUUGGAGGUUUGUUAUCUAAAAAGAGAAAAGAGGAUUGGCUAUCUAUUUUGGAGGAGAGUCUCUUGAAUGGCAAUCAAGGUGGGAUCAAGCAAAUACUUAAGGUGAGUUUUGAUCAUCUGUCACCUGCACCGGUUAAGAAAUGCUUUGCAUAUUGCUCAAUUUUUGAUCAAGAUACUGAAUUGGAACAAGAUCGACUAGUUGAGCUUUGGAUGGCUGAAGGCUUUCUUCAACCGGAUCCCCAAAAUGAAAGAAUGAUGGAGAAAAUAGGAUGUGAGUAUUUGAGAAUUUUGCUGCAAACUUCCUUAUUGGAAGAAGUAAAAGAGGAGAGGAGAACAUGGUAUAAAAUGCAUGACCUUGUGCAUGAGUUUGCAAAAUCAAUUUUGAAUCGUAGCAGCAGCAAUGAGGACCGCUACCUUUCAUUAUACUCAUCCGAAAGAAUGUUAGAAAACAUGAACGAAAAAAAAUCAGCAUCACUUCGCACAUUAUUUCUGAAGGGUGGCAUAGCUGAUGAAAUAUUAUCAAAGUUCAAACACUUGCAUGUCCUAAAAUUGUCUGGAGAAGAUGUCAAAGAGUUGCCGACCUCCAUUGGCAAACUAAUCCACUUACACUUACUUGACAUUUCAGAUUCGAUGAUUACAACUUUGCCAGAAUCUCUUUGCGAACUUUAUAGUUUGCAAACACUAAGAAUUUACGCGCUUGAAAAAGGUUUUCCAAAGAAGAUGAGCAAUUUGAUUAGCAUGAGACAUCUUCACUAUUUUCAUUAUCGUUAUGAUAAAGGAUGCAAAAUCCAGAUGCCAUCCAGUAUUGGACGAUUGACUUGUCUUCAAACAUUAGAGUUCUUUAACAUAGGUCGUCAGGAGGAAGGUCGUGGUAUCCAAGAACUUGGGACCUUGCAAGAUCUUAAAGGCACCUUGGAGAUCAGAAAUCUUGAAUCAGUAAAUGGCAAAGAUGAUGCAGAACUAGCGAACCUAUCUAAAAAGCCACAUAUGUAUCGGUUGGUAUUUGAGUGGGGCAAUAGGGAUCGAGAAAGUGAUAAUUGUGAUGAAGAUGUGUUGGAAGGCCUCCAACCUCACCCAAAUUUAAAAGAGUUACAAAUUUUGAAGUUCAUGGGUGAUCAGUUCCCACAAUGGUUCAUGAAUUUGACAUCACUGGUGGAGUUGCGUGUGGCGAAUUGCACAAGAUGCAGAGAACUCCCCACCCUAGGACAGCUGUCAUCCCUCCAACAUCUAUAUCUGACUGGAUUGGAAAACAUAAGAAGCAUUGGGCUUUCAUUCUACAGUACAAGUGCUGAGGAGGACGGCGGAUCAGGAGGUUCAGGCACUGUUAGCAGACAAACAUUCUUUCCAGCCCUUAAAAUUCUCUCUCUUGAAAGCAUGGAAAAUUUGGAAGAGUGGAAGGACGCACACGAAAUAAGGUCAACCGCAGGUGAAGUACAUGUGAUGGAUGUGUUUCCCAUGCUUGAAGAGUUGUAUAUUAGCCAUUGCCCCAAGCUGACCACCAUUCCAACUCCAAGUCGUUUCCCAAGUCUUGAUGUAUUGAAAAUAAAAAAGAAUUGCCAUGUUUUGCUGGCAGAAAAGGUUUUGAGCAAUAUGGCCAAUCUCUCAUCCCUUGAAUUAUGGGAUCUUGGUGGUCAACGCAUCGAGUCUCUAAAAUUAGUGAAACGACCAGAGAGCAGCUUGAGUAUUGAAGGCUGUAACAGUCUACCCACUGACAUGCUUGAGCGACUCUGUCUUUUUCCAACUCUUCAGCGUGUAGAAUUGAGGCUUGCCGCUAAUAUAACAACAUUAAGAGGAAUGAGUUGCGCCGCUUGUCUUAAGAGAUUGGUAGUCUUUUGCUGUGACAAUUUACGGGAGUUGCCAGAAGAUCUUUAUCAAUUUCAAGCUUUAGAGUACUUGCUGAUACAAGGGUGCCCGAGAAUUAAUUCAUUUGGAUAUCCAAAUCCUAAUUCAUUUGGACAGAAAGGCCUCCUUAAGUCUCUUGAGGAAUUUACUAUCGAAGGGUGCGAUGCAUUAACAAGAUUACCAGCGGAGAUGUUCGAGUCGUGUACGUCUCUCCGAGAGCUGAAUUUGUUCGGUUGCCCCAGUCUGGUCUCCUUUCCCCUUGAUUUGCGACGAACCCCUUCUCUCGAGAGCUUCAUUUUAGGGGGGUGUCCCAACUUGAUUGCUGAGAUGCCAAGUGGAUUUGGCUAUCUUACCAGCUUAAGGCGUGUGUCGAUUGGUCCCUUCUCAGAUGACUCUGCAAUCAAAUUUGAUUGGGCUGGAUUAGCAUCUUCAUCAUCACUCCGACACGUGUCUUUAUGUGGAAUGCCUGACAUGAAAUCUCUGCCACACCAGCUUCAAUGCUUGACUACCAUCACAUCACCCUCCGUGGAUGCCAUGGAACGCCUCACAUUCAGACGUCUGCGAAUUCGUGAUUGUCCUCUAUUAACCGACAGAUGCACUCCUCAAAGCGGCUCCGAGUGCCCCAAGAUCUCUAAUAUUCCAGAGCGUAGAAUUGUCCGUAAGCAAAAUUCACCAAUAUUGGGUAUGUUCUUAUUUUUUUUGUCACUGAUAUUUCCAAACAACAUUAAAACCAAUGAAAUAGCAAUUUGGGGAGAAUUUUUGUUACAAUUUUUGUUUUUACCGCUGGCAUUUAAUGGAUGGAUAUGUUCUUAAUCUUCACUAUUAUCUCUCUGUAAGACUCUGCAUUAUGAUUGCCAUAAAAUUAGCUCAAUGUCGAUCAAGUUGAAAUUGUUUGCAGAGGAACUAGGCCGCUGCUAAAACUAUAAAUUCUGAUCAUCUUUUAAAAUUUCUAAAAUUCAGAUACUAUAACUAGCUACUUUUCUGUUUUAUGAAUUGGAUUGAUAAUAUUAUGGCGUUGUAGGCCACAAGUGUCAGUGAAGCAGCAAGCAGUGAUAAUAUUAUGUGCUCAAGGCAAAGUCAGCCUGGAACCUCUAAAGCAUCUUAUUGCACUUUUCACAUUCUCCAACUGCAACAUUAGGCUGUGGUUUCCAAUCAUUUUUGAAGAAAGAUGAGGAGGUAUUUGCACUAGUAAGUGUUCUUUAUGGAUUAAUCAAUGGAAUAUAAAUUGAUUUUUGCUCUUUAGGAUUUUGAGUGAUAAAUUGUUGCACGAGUUACCAGACCAAACCUUUCUGUGGCUCAUGUUUCUACACAAUGUCAUAACUGAAACAGAACUGUGAUGUAAUAUUGUUAUUUUUUUUUCCAGAAUUUGUUCAGGAAGCAGAGAUUAUGCUCUUUGGACAAAGAACACCAGUCAGGUUUUGGUUCCCGUGUUGUUCUUAUGAGAAUGUCAAGAGGGAGGAGUUAUUUUCAGUUAUCAAUCAGGUUUUGAAGAUGGAAGGUAGUUAUCUGUGAUUUUUCCCACCAGAAUGCCAUAUAUUGCUCAGAAUGUGGAAAUGAAGGUAAAAAAAAUGUUGACUGCAUGUCUAUUGGCCUGUUUCAAUGGCUUUUCUUUUUUUCUUUUAAUCUAUUUUAUGGAAGUAUUUAACAAAAUAAAUCAAAUAUUGAACCUUUUCUCCUUGUAGCAUGCUGAAAACAGAGUGGCUUGUGCCAGACUUGUAGAAAGUAGUAUGGAUGGAGAAGAAUUAGAGGGGAGCAUGGUAGCUGUACUGGAGAGCUAUCAAGGUACAAGACUUACUUGAAAAACACUGGGCGUGCUGAUACUUUAAUUCCAGAGGUGACAACAUUUGAUGGAAAGAAGUUAGACGUUGUAGACAGCAUUUCAGAAACCACUGGGAAUAUGUAACAUUUCAGAAGACUAAUGAAGGUGGGAGAUCAAUGAUAAAUGUUUCACAUGAAGUUCUCAAACAUGGUUUCACCCAAUUAGAGGUACUCUACCACAACAAAUCUGCUUGUCAGGUUAAAUGAGCAUGUUUCAGCAUGCCAAUUCAAUGGAAGUUGAUAAAUUACUCUUAAGAAUUGAAGGAAGAAGGAAACAACUUGCCAACACUGAAAAGAUAUUGACAUCCAUUACCUAUUUCUCUCUGAAAACGGUUAUCCUUUUUUGAUUUUUGUUUGGUCCAAAGAUUUUAGUUUGUCAGGAGAAAUUAGUCAGCUAAAAGAUGUUAAUAAAAGAAUUUAUGAAUGCUAGUACAUGAAUAUAAAUUUUGCAUUUUUUCUUCAGAUUAGUUUGCCAAACUCUAGUUUAGAACAUCAUUUUAGAAAGAGACGAAAGAUUAUCAUCUUACUCUUCCUUUAACGUUUAAUUAAACAUUUAGCUUUGAUAAUCACUUUAUUUUCAAAAAGAAUCACAAGGACAAUUUAUGCAAAUUCGAUUGACUUUUGCUACCAUUACUUCCUUCUGGGCUUGUUAAUGCUCUGUUUUUUAGCCUUUCAUUUUUGGUUAUCUAGUAGAUUGGUGAUUUUUCCAUCCUACUUGCGUAAGGACUUGCUUGCUCAUGAUAAAAUAUUUAUAGAAAUAUCUAUUUUAGCAUUUUAGACAAAUGUCUCACGGGCUAAGUUGGAACAUGUAGAAAGCAGUGAUUUUCAAGCAAAAAUGUAUGGAUGGUGAUGUGGUAGACAAUUGUUCUCUUAAGGAGUGAAGAUCAGUCUUCUAGAAAGCACUAUGUGACAGAGUAAAUGAAGAGGUAUGUAGUCUCAGAGCUCAUGAUACUAUGUUUCUGUUGCUGUUGCCAUAACUUCAAAUCAACCACAUACAAAAGCUAUGCUCUGAAUGUAGUAUGCGUUUUUGAUGGCUUAAUUGAUGUACUUCUGCUUAAUUUUUGGUCUUUAAAAAUUUUUGUAAUACAUUCUUCAUAAGUUUUGAUGGUUCAACGUGGCUAAUUUUACACUUAAUAUUACUGUAAUGUAACAUGGUGAUGUUUUUUCCCUGAAUCUAUUUAGGAAGCAGAUAUCAUCUUGUUGGAAAAGGAACAGCAUUGUUCCCUGUCGUUUUUGUGAGAAUGUCAAAAGGAAGAAAUUACUGUCACUGUGCAGGCAAUAAACAGGUGCUUUUCAAGUAGGUUUUUUUUUUUGGUGCUUUAGCUAAAAAAGAUAAGUAGACCUAAGAAUUUUUACCAAGAAACUCUUUUAAAAUAUCUGACAUUUGUGAAGACCGAUGAAGAUGGUAAAUCAAUAGUAAAUGUUACUCAAGGAAGUUUUUCAGGGUGCUUCAUUCCACUUGAUAGAGAUACUGUGCCACAAGUCUAUUCUGCUAAGGUUAGAUGAGCAUUUUUUCAGCGUAGCCAUUGAAAUGAAGUUGGCAAUCAACUCUAACAAAUUCAAGGAAGAAGGAUACUACUUGCCGACAUUUAUAGAAUUGCGGCAUUCUUUUGCUGCUUCUUUCUGAAAAAGGUUAUCUUUUACUAGUCCAUUUUUGUCCUAAAUAUCUUAGUGUACUAGGAGAAAUCAGUCUGCUCAAAAGAAAGUCCUUCGAGGCUAAAUCCGUUGAUUAUUUGUUUUGAAUUAUAAUACAUGAAUACCAAUCAUGACUUUUUUCCUUGGGUUAUUAUGCCAAACUAGCUAAGAUUAGAACCUCACUUUGCAAGCAUAGGAAGGAUUAUCAUCUCACUGUUCUUCCGAGUUUUACAUUCUCAUGUUUUAUUAACAAUAUGCAAAUUUUUGAAUUCCAUUUUUGGUUCAUCUCGUAAUUAUUUAGAAUGAUCAUCUUUCCAUUACUAGUUGCUAACAGUGUUCUUUGUUCAUUGUCAACUCUUUAUCCAAUAUCUGUAUCAAUAUUGAAGACAAUCAGUGUCUAAUGGGUUUUGAUGGAACAUGUAGGAAGCAGCAGCUUUCGAGUUAAAGUGUAUGAAUGUUGUCUCGAUGAAUUACAGGUUUACUUUGUUUCUCUCAAAGUUGGCAUUUCUUUCACACACAUAUGGAAGUGCCCGACCUUUCAUAUAUUUUGGAGGUUUCUUCUGAUUUGAUUUGCUUGAGACAAAGGGAAGCAUAUGAAGGAGAUCUUGGUUCCAGUUUAAGCUGGCAUGGCUGAGACCUGUAGCCAAUUUGGUUGAUCUUGGUUCCAGUUUAAGCUGUCUGGAUUGCUCUUUGUCAAUCUCGUGAAUGUGGAUCUCAUAUCAAUGGAAGCAUUGAAAGUAUGAAGAUGAGAAAGCAAGAAUACUGGUAGCUAGCUGUUGGAUUGUAGGCAUGUAAAAAGUCUUAACUAUACUAAAAUUGUCACCCAGAUAGCUGGCUAGAAUGCAUAUAUUACUCUAGCUUGUUCUAUAAAGAGAUAUGAUUUGAGGUUUUAAUGUGAUCCAGAGCUUUAAGAUUUUGAAAUACCUAAUUGACCAUGCUUUGAGGAGUUUGAUUUAGGUUUAAACCAAUUGCAAGUUCAUAAAAAUAGAGCUAAACAAGUAUGAAUUUUAUGAUACUUACCUCAAAUGACUUCAAAAGCUUGCUGAAAAUUUCUCGCUUCUCAAUUUGUCAAACCAAGUUGUGACCGGUCCCUUUUCUGGCUGUCCAAGGCAUUUGGUUUUUCUUUAGGGAUAAUUUCAAAAACCUCCUCUGAGGUUUCUAAUAAUUUCACUAGCCUCUUCUAAAAUUUCCAAAUUACACAAACCUCUCUUGAGAUUAAGGUUUUAAUAACAAAAUUAGUCUACUUAAAAAAAGUGACAUUAAAAAAAUACUUUAAGGAGAGAGAUAAAACUUUGAUUCCAUAAAUAUUCCUUAUACAUGUAUAUAAGUUGUAUUAGUAAAAGAAUAAAAAUAAUUAAAAGUUAGAUACAAUUAGUAUACAUAUUUUCACAACUUAAAAAGUUCAUAUUUAAUGAAUUCGGCAACAUAAAUAAGCAACAAAAUUACACUAAUGAUCACGAGAUUUAACAAAACAACUAGUCAUCUCUUUUAGUAUGAUAUUUGCGAUGAUUUGUGAUUUUGAGUAGAAAAAUUUUCAAAUUUUACCUUUCUUUUCCCUCCCUAUGUUUGAUAUGGAGGGAAAUAGAAUGGAAGGAAAAGAAAGGCAAAAUUUGAAUUUUUUUUUUGUUCAAAAUCACAAAAAUCAUAGCAAACAUCAUGCCAAAAGAGAUGAAUAAUCUAUUUUAUCAUAUCUUUUGAUCAUUCUAUAGUUUUGUUACUUAUUUGUUUGUCUAAUUUAUUAAAUGCGAGUUUUUUGAGUGAUAAAAUAUGUAUAUUAAUUGCUUUUAAUUUUUAAUUAUUUUAGUUCUUCUACUAAUAUAAUUUAUAUACAUGCAUAAGGGGUAUUUAUGAAAUAAAAGUUUAAUCUCUCCUUAAAGUACUUUUUAAUGUUACUUUUUUUAAUUGGACUAAUUUUGUUACCAAAACCUUAACCUCAAAGGAGGUUUGUAUAAUUUUGCAAACUUCAAGGGAGGAUAGUGAAAUUGUUAGAAAUCUCAGGGGGGGUUUCUGAAAUUAUCCCUAAUGUAAAAGGUUCACAGGUUUAUGCAUUCACCACUAUUUAGAUCUAUUUGUUAAGAACUAUUUCUACCCUUCAAACCAAUACAACACAUUAAGCCUGCUCAUGAAUCUAAUCCAGACAAAGUAUACAUGUCCUACUUUCAUGUUCUGGAGAGGGAAGAACCAGACUGUUGAUAGGGCUCUUCAUCUUUCUCUGAUGUUGUGAGAUAUUGGCGGCCAACUUUGUAAAGAAAUCGUUCAUUAUACCAUCCCCAAAGUGAGCUUGAAAGAUGGGUUCAUAAAUAGCUCUCAAGCUCCUAGCCAUGUACUUGGCAUUGGUGUUUGUAUUGAAUACGUAGCCCUUCCGGCACCCUUCCCGCAAUGUGCCGCCUCCACACCAAUCACUCGCAGUUGAAUGUUAUCCAGAUACCUUAUCUUAAGAGCACGAUUUUUCUCAAUGAUUGCCUUUACUUCUUCCAAAGAAGGCCGGUAAUGUGGAAGGUUGAAAGUAUCGAGUGCUUUUUCCUCAAUCAGUCCCUGUACAAUUUUACACACAGAUGGUAUCAUAUAUUCACCCCAGAUUGUAUCGAGAUUGAGUGUCUAUGAAUCAUUACCUCUGAAACCAUGUCAUUCAUUGUCAUUCCAAGUAAGUCCUGUACGUUAUAUGCUACAGGAUCAUCGAUUUUAGGCGUCAAGGUCACAAAUAAGUGUCCCCCAGACACCAAUUCAUCAGCACGGAUACUCAAGAAGUUUGUAAAAUCUCUGUCAAAUUGAUCCAAAUAUGCAUCAUGCACACUCUUAGGACUUGUUUUACCUAUGUAAAUAUUGCCUUUGUUCAGUGGCAACCCUUCCUCAGUCACCAACCCACUCGGGACCUGCAGGAGAUAGGUAGAUAGAACGGGAAAAAAAAAGAAAAACUAUUACAAAUAGUAAUAAUGUAAAAAUUAUAUAAAGCAGUCAGCGGUGUUAAUACCAAAAUAGCAGUGCGUGUUAAUAACAAUAAAGCCGGAGAUUGGCGAACCUGAGAAAGCCAAUGAAGUCUGUAAGAAGAGUAUAAAAUGCAUGGAGUUGUCAGGAAAAAGUCUUCCAUAAAAAGAGCCGGGCAUAGCUGCAAUGAAGCAUGACCUUGAACCACAACCAUACGAUUCCUUAAGUUUUUGAUAAAAACUGGGCAGUAAUUUGAAAAUGGAGUUGAAAUCAUUGGACAUGAGAUCAUUCAAGAAAACUUGAAUAUUAGGUAGCUUAAGAAUGUUCAAGUUAUGGCGUUCUCUAUUAAUGCUAUCUAUAAUGCUUUCAACUGCUAACAACGUAUUCGGUCCCGAUGCACAUCCCAGAUCUGCUACUCUUAUGCACUCUGUCUCUGCUAGGUUGGCUUGACAAAACCCCUGAAUGCUCCGAUUGAGUGCAUGGUUGACAUUCAUAAACACUAAUCUCUGAAGGGUAGAAACAGAUUUAGAGAUCAGUCACAGAAUUAUAUAUAGAGGGCCAGAGAGAAAUCAUUCGAACGUCAUCUGAUAUGUAUCACUUACUUGAAAUGUUGAAUUUUUGGCAUAGCUUUCCUCAUCUCCCCCUCCUUUCGUGUGAAGAAUUUGUUCCAUUUCGAGUACCUUACUGCAAUUCUGCAAUUUGGACUUAUGUUAAAGGCGAGGAGGGUAAGGGUAGCAGUAGUAACAAUCUAGAUAUUGCUAUACAUGUCAAGGACAAGGGUACUUGGAAGUUGGCAGGAAAUACAAUGAGAAUUGAUCAGAAACAAUAUUCAUCAGUAGUUAAGGGAAUAUUGAAAGGCUUAAACUACAAUCAAACUCAAUGUGUGAAUAAGAUAUUAAGCUACAUCAGUACUAUGCUUGACCAAUGAAAUGAUUUUGAGCUGAACUACAUACGAUCAAGACUUAAUUGAUGGCAAACUCUAAAACUAUAUCAAGAUAACUUCACCAAAUGAAAAUCUUGUAAGAUGAGAAUAAUUGGAACAAACCUAUUCAGAAAGUCAAAUUAAUCAGCAGACACCAUUUUACCAGAAAGAAAUUGAAAAUACCACUAGAUUUGCUUGCUUCUGUCUCUUUAUUAUGAUAGAAGACACCACAUUCUUGACUAACUUAGGACUUCGAUGAUUUCCUUUGGGUUAAUCUAAAAUUCCUUACUAGUUUUGUUCAUGUUGCCUCCGUUUUGCAGCAAUGACACCCCAAGAGGCACACAUAUAUGCUCUGUUAAAGAGAGAGAGAGAGAGAGAGAGAGAGAGAGAGAGAGAGAGAUGAAGAAAAGAUGACAAACUUGACUCAAGCUACGGUUAAAAUGCUAAGAAAACAAAAGAAAAAGAUGAAGAAAGAUAAGUAGUUGACUUUGAAAGUAUAAGAACUGCAAAUCAAAGCAAAUACAAUGUUAGAUUUAAAUAUCAACCUAGAACAUUAGUAAAUUGCAGAAAUAAUAAAAACAAAAACUAUUGUAGAUUAAGAAAUCAAACCUGCGCAUAUGGUUUAGGCACAAAACUGAACUUUACUGGAGGAAUUUGAGAGAUUAAUGGUGCGAUGAUGAAGAGAGGAAUGAUUGGUGUGAGAGGUCAUUGAAGGAAAUUAGGUAAAAAUUAGGAACAAAAAGAAUGGAAGAAGUCUUGACUGUUGAGCUUGCUGAUCAGUAGUAAUAAUUGGGCUAGGUUGCACCUUCCAAGACUCUUGAAUAUUUUAUCAUUUCAAUGCACAGUUGUGCUGGUGUUAAAUAUUUUAAAAAGUUUAACUCACAUAACCAUUUGAGGCUGGUGAUCAUAAGACAUUGAUGAAUGUGCGUGAAGUAAACUACUGAUCGAAGUUUUAUAAGCAAAUACAUCUACAUUUGUUAAGUAGUCAAUGUAUGAAAGCGUAGGGAAGAAGAAAUUAUAUUGUAAAAGCAGGGGUGAUAUAAAUAUAAUAUUUACACCCUUGAGGAGUUCUGCACCCAUAUUUUGUGAAUUUCUUUCCAGUAUAAUAUGUUCUUCCACAUUGCCUAGUCCAUCACCAUUGUAGCCCAGAAUGUCAAAAGCACCAGCACCACCACAAGCACAAUCCAGAGGCUGCUCAAGGAAAUCUACUCUCAUGUGCUUGUCAUCAAAAAGCUGCCUUUGAGGGUUCAGUUUUGUUAGUACAAGGGCAUCCACAAUGGAAUGUAAUGAUGCGUGUAAUACCUGCCAUGACAUGGGUCCAUUACACGGUCACCCAUUGUGCCACGCAGCAUUCUGAUGAUACGUAUAAUAGGUGGGCUAGUGCUUUUAGACCAAUUUUUUUAAAAGUCUAAUUUUUUUGAAGUCACAAUGGACAAAAUUUAUACCGGCAAGGAAAAGUUAGCAACAUUCUUUUUUUUUUUCCAAUGGUUAUGUUUUAAUUCUCUGCAUAAACACAACACAUUCCUUUUUUUUCAUAUCUUAUUAUCCUACUCUAUUAUUCCUUUUACUCUCUCACUCAUUUUCCUCAACCUCUUUGCACAAUUUUUUAAAAAAAUUUCAAUAGUUUGUGAUUAUGGAUGAGAAUUUUAGUAGUUUUACAAAUAUGUUAAAUGCUCCAAAUAUAGAAAAUUAAUCCUCCUCGCAAAAUCAAAACCACCAAAAUUUUUCAAAUUACCCAAAUUACCCAUUUUCUGGUAUUCCUACAAAUGUGCAAAAUUAUGUAUAUCCCCUAAAUUUAUCCAAUUCCAACUAUCCAUCAUAUUUCCACAAUCUACCAAAUUUUUCAUACCCAAUUCCCAUGUAUCCUCCACCUACUUAUUUUAAUCCAAAUAUGGGAAAUCACUACACAUCGGGGGUACUAUAACAUUGGUAUGGGUUGUGGAUGCUCAAAAACUCCGUCGGAGAUAAGGAAGGAUUUUGAUUUCGUCGACCAACAAGAAAAUACUGCAUCAACAGAAUCAAUGUUGGACUCUCAAUUUCCACCGUAUUCAACACAACGAAGAAAAACUGUAAGCUAUGAAAAACUUAGCAAAUAAGUUAGACAAUUAUAAUUUUUGAAGUGAUUAUGAAAUCCUAUUGAAGGAUACCACAGGCAUGUCCGAGCAGCAGCUUAAAAUUCAUGAGCAUAUAUGUUCCAUCCUAAAAGCCACUUAUAAUAUUCCUUAGUUUAGUUUUAAUUUCAUGGUUAGUAAUGUAAUUUUUUUAAUUUUGCAUAUGUGUUGUAUCAUAUUAAUCACUUGCAUAGUACAUUUAUGGAGUAACUAGACACAAGUUAUGAAAUCCGGCCAUGAAAGUAGAAGUCUUUAGGGUAAGCAUAAAAGUAGAUACAAGCCAGUGCCAUUAGUAUUAAACGCUAGAAUUUUCAAUCCAAAGCUAUUUUGUUUUCUUCUUUACCGUCCCAUACUUCCUUGAUCGUUAAGCAAAUUUUGACCAAAAGCAGUAGGAGUCCUUUUUUUUUUUGCCGCUCGACUCUUUGGUAUUGGCUUUUACCUUUCCUGCAAUUUAGUUUAGCAUAUAUACUGCCAAUUAGCUUUUAUGUUCUCUAUCAUAACCCGUGAAUUAAUUUAUUUGCAUUCCCACAUUAUUUCACACCAAUUCUGGUCUUUAAACCUGCUUCACUUUUUAAUAGAAACGGUUAGCAGAAGUCCGAUUUCGAUACAAACAAAAAAUGUACAAACAAAAGUGUCACAUGGUAGUAUGGUACUAAUGAUGCCUGUAAUUUCAAGUAAAAUCAAAUCAAUGUUGUUGAGAUAUGCCAACUUUUUCUACAGAUUUUAUUAGAUUAUGUUUAAUAUUAGAAUAAUUUAGUUAGUAGUUAAAUAAAUCUUGUUGUUGGAAUAUUUGUUAACUAAAAAUCAUAUGGGUUGUUAACAAAUAUUUUAGCUAAGAUUUGUUGAGUAAGAGAUUAUGUUAUCAAGUGUUUUGUUGAGAUUUUUUAGGAUAAUUGUUAGUUAGAUAUUUUGUAAGUUUGUUUCAUGUAAUUACUAUAAAUAGUAAGUCAUGUUAUCAAUUUUUUUUUUUGCAACACUAAGGUGUUGUUUAUUAAUUUAUGCUCGAAAAAAACAACAAAGUGGUAUAAGAGCCUAUGUCUUAAUGCUUGUGUUGUUUUAUGAGAGUGAGUGCUUUGUAAGUUCAAAGUCAUGAUAGGAAAGAACUUUUUGUCAAAUGUUUCAAUUUUUAGUGGUGAAACUUACCAAAUUUAGACUAUUAAAUUUUGGACUUAUUUGGUAGUCAAUAAUCUAUGGGAUAUGGUGGACAUAAAUUUUGUAUCGCCAGUAUUUGAAAAAUCGAUGGAUACAUAGAUUAAAGACCAUAGAGUUGCAGUUAGACAGAGAUCCAAUACCAACAUUCACAUAUCAUUUGAUGCCGUUUUCACAAGGAUAAUGGCUUAUGAUUUGAUUGAGAAUAACUUAUUCUCAAUUAAAAUGAAAAAAAAAGUUUCACUAUGAAUUGACAAUUCUGAAGUAAAGCAUGAUGAAAUCAAGAAUUCAGAUUCUGAAAAAAUUUAACAGGAGAUCAUUGAUAAGUUAAGAGGUAUCAAAUUGAUUCCUGAUAUUUAUCAUCAAAAUUAUAAUAUUGUUUGUUUUUGAGUCUACAAGUUUUGAUGGUGAUGACAAAAUGAAGAACUAUGUAGAAGUUCAUAGUUAUAGUACAAGUUCAAACAUUAUCGAAUGGUGUUCCACUUUGAACCUAUGAGAAGGUUAUUUGGAAACAUAAAAAAAAAAUCUUUUAUUUGGAGUUUGGCAUGAGAAGACAAAAGGAGUGGAUUGUUGCAAGACUAAUCUUUAGCUUGCAUAAAAAUCCAAAAGAAGAAGUUCAUUGCAAGGCUAAUCAUAAGUUGCAGAGAUUCUUAUAAAAGUUUUCUCCAAAACAAGGUCCAAAAUUUUGAGAAAGCAAUUCAAAAUCUGCAGCAAAAGUGACAAGAAGAAGUGUUAAGAUAUGCCAACUUUUUUGACAGAUUUUAUUAUAUUAUGUUUGAUAUUAGAAUAAUUUAGUCAGUAGAUAAAUAAAUCUUGUUGUUAGGAUAUUUGUUAACUAAAAAUCACGUGCUUUGUUAACCAAUAUUUUAGAUAAGAUUUGUUGAGUAGGAGAUUAUGUUAUCAAGUGUUUUGUUGAAAUUUUUUAGGAUAAUUGUUAAUUCGAUAUUUUGUUAGUUUGUUUCACGUAAUUACUAUAAAUAAUGAGUUGAUGAAUUAAUAGCAUAAGCUCAUUUUCAGUUUCAAUACAAGUUUCUUAUAAACUUUUUUUUUUUGUAACACUAAGGUGUUGCUUCUUAGUUUAUGCCCCAAAAAAACCAACAAAUGUGCUAUAGUAAUUGAUUAGUACAACUAAUCUAUAAGAAAAUUAAUAGCUUAAUCCACUUAAUAGAAGAUGAGUUAAGUUCCUAUCAAUCUUUUCUCUCUUGUCAUCUUUCUCUUGGUCUUGGGCCUCUGCUUUGCUCCAUCUACCUUGGAAAGGGGAUCAGAUUCUUUAAAAGAAAAACCAACUAAACUGGUCUUGCUCCCUAUCCAACCUUAAUUCAUAGUCAAAAUCUGAAACAAAUAGAUGGAGACUAGCUUUCCAAAUGAAUAUGUUAUAAAAUGAGAACAAUUAGAAUAAACUUAUUCCGGAAGUCAAAAUACUCAGAACUUGCUAUUUAACCAGAAAGAAAUUGAAAAAUCUAAUAGAUUCCCGUACUUUUGUGUCUCCAUUAUGAUAGAAGUCACACAAAAUUCUUAACUAGUUUAGGAGUUUGAUUAUUUUCUUUAGACUAAUAUCACGCUUCUUUAGUAGUUUUUAUAAUGCACCUCCGUUCUGCAACAACGACAUCCCGGACACAUACAUAUGUUUGCAUCAUCUCAAUUUGUCACUGAUGAUGUAAUUCUGCUUAAUUUUUGCUCUUUAGAAAUUUUUGUAAUACAUUCUUCAUAAGUUUUGAUGGUUCAACGUGGCUAAUUUUACACUUAAUAUUACUGCAAUGUAACAUGGUGAUUUUUUUUUCCUGAAUCUAUUUAGGAAGCAGAUAUCAUCUUGUUGGAAAAAGAACAACAUUAUUGUUCCCUGUCGUUUUUGUGAGAAUGUCAAAAGGAAGAAAUUACUGUCACUGAGCAAGUAGGUUUCGCAGAUGAAGAUGGUCAUCAAUUAUAGUUAUUUUGCUCAUUAAUUUGCACUAGCAUUGAUGGAGGCUUCUCAAACACCACGUAGAAAAACUGAAAGUGUUAUGUUCUGUAGUGCUCGGAAUGCAAAAAUGAAGGUAAUGAUUUGGCUAAACUUUUUGUUAGCCUGUUUCGAUUUUUUUUCUUUAUCUAUCUUCUGGAAAUGUAAUUUGGUUCAGAAGAAGAGAAGAUUUGAUGAUGGAAGCUAGAUGUUGAAGAUGGCAGUAAUAGUCAUUCGGAAAGCAAAAGCAAAGCUUGUAGUGGGAUGGGAGAAAUUCAAAGAUUACGUGCUGCAAGAAUAUGUAUUCACAUGCAAGGGUUUCUAAGUCCUCGUUCAAAGGUUCAAGGAAGCACUGCGGCUAGAUCAUGCAAUGCCUUUCUCAAUUGGACAAUGGACCAUACCUUUCCAACCCAAAAACAAGAGAGAUUCAUGAUGCACUUGUGCUAACAGUUGAUUAUUCCGGGUGUCUAACCUAACUAGGUGUUGAAUUUGUCAAGGUAAACUAACAUAUAUUUACCAUAAUACCUUGUUGGGUUUUAACUUAUUUUUUUAUUUGAAUAGUAGAAAAUUAGAAAAUUUUAACUUAAAUAAGCAAUAAACAGGUGCUUUUCAAGUAGCAUUUUUUUUUUUUGUGCUUUAGCUAAGAAUGAUAAGUAGAUCGAAGAAUUUUUACCAAGAAACUCUUUAAAAUAUCUGACAUUUGUGAAGAACAAUGAAGGUGGUAAAUCAAUAGUAAAUAUUACUCAAGGAAGUUUUUCAAGGUGCUUCAUUCCACUUGAUAGAGAUACUGUGUCACAAGUCUAUUCUGCUAAGGUUAGAUCAGCAUUUUUUCAGCGUAGCCAUUGAAAUGAAGUUGACAAUCAACUCUAACAAAUUCAAGGAAGAAGGAAACUACUUGCCGACAUUUAUAGAAUUGCGACAUUCUUUUGCCUCUUCUUUCUUAUUUGUUUUGAAUUAUAAUAUAUGAAUAUCAAUCAUGACUCUUUUCCUUGGGUUAUUAUGCCAAACUAGCUAAGAUUAGAACCUCACUUUGUAAGCAUAGGAAGGAUUAUCAUCUCACUGUUCUUCCGAGUUUUACAUAGACAUACAGCUUUCAUUCUCAUGUUCUAUUAACAUUGAAACUGUGCAAAUUUUAUUGCCCUCGCUAAUUUUUGAAUUCCAUUUUUGGUUCAUCUAGUAAUUAUUUGGAAUGCUCAUCUUUCCAUUACUAGUUGCUAACAGUGUUCUUUGUUCAUUGUCAACUCUUUAUCCAAUAUCUGUAUCAAUAUUGAAGACAAUCAGUGUCUAAUAGGCUUUGUUGGAACAUGUAGGAAGCAGCAGCUUUCGAGCUAAAGUGUAUGAAUGCUGUCUCGAUGGAUUAAAGGUUUACUUUGUUUCUCUCAAAGUUGGCAUGUCUUUCACACACAUAUGGAAGUGCUCGACCCUUCAUGUAUUUUGCAGGUUUCUUCUGAUUUGAUUUGCCUGAGACAAAGGAAAGCAUAUGAAGGAACCAUUUAGCUGGCAUGGCUAAGACCUAUAGCCAAUUUGGUUGAUCUUGGUUCGAGUUUAAGCUGUCUGGAUUGCUUUUUGUCAAUCUCAUGAAUAUGGAUCUCAUAUCAAUGGAAGCAUUGAAAGUAUGAAGAUGAGAAGGCAAGAAUACCAGUAGCUAGCUGUUGGAUUGUAGGCAUGUAAAAGGCCUUAAGUUUAACUAUACUAAAAUUGUCACACAUAUAGCUGGCUAGAAUGCAUAUAUUACUCUAACUUGGCCUACAAAGAGAUAAGAUUUGAGGUUUUAAUGUGAUCCAGAGCUUUCAGCUUUGGAAGUACUUAAUUGACCAUGCUUUGAGGGUUUUGAUUUAGGUUUCAACCAAUCACAAGUUCAUAAAAAUAGAGCUAAACAAGUAUGAAUUUCAUGAGACGUACCUCAAAUGACUUCAAAAGGUUUCUGAAAUUAUCCCUAAUCUAAAAGGUCCACAGGUUUAUGCAUUAAGCACUAUUUAGAUCUAUGUGUUAAGCACUAUUUCUACCCCUUUCAAACCAAUACAACACAUUAAGUCUGCUCAUGAAUCUAAUCCAGACAAAGUAUACAUCUUCCGCUUUCAUGUUCUGGAGAGGGAAAGAACCAGACUGUUGAUAGGGCUCUUCAUCUUUCCCUGAUGUGGUGAGAUAUUGGCGGCCAACUUCGUAAAGAAAUCGUUCGUUAUACCUUCUCCAAAGUGAGCUUGAAAGAUGGGUUCAUAAGUAGCUCUCAAGCUCCUAGCCCUGUACUUGGCAUUGGUGUUUGUAUUGAAUACGUAGCCCUUCCCGCAAUCUGCCGCCCCCGCACCAAUCACUCGCAGUUGAAUGGUAUCCAGAUACCUUAUCUUAAGAGCACGAUUUUUCUCAAUGAUGGCCUUUACUUCCUCCAAAGAAGGCCGGUAAUGUGGAAGGUUGAAAGUAUCGAGUGCUUUUUCCUCAAUCAGUCCCUGUACAGUUUUACACACAGAUGGGAUCAUAUAUUCACCCCAGAUUGUAUCGAGAUUGAGUGUCUAUGAAUCAUUACCUCUGAAACCAUGUCAAUCAUUGUCAUCCCAAGUAAGUCCUGAACGUUAUAUGCUACGGGAUCAUCGAUUUUUGGCGCCAAGGUCACAAAUAAGUGUUCCCCAAACACCAAUUCAUCAGCACGGGCACUCAAGAAGUUUGUAAAAUCUCUGUCAAAUUGAUCCAAAUAUGCAUCAUGGACAUUCUUUGGACUUGUUUUACCUAUGUAAAUAUUGCCUUUGUUCAGUGGCAACCCUUCCUCAGUCACCAACCCACUCGGGACCUGCAGGAGAUAGGUAGAUAGAACAGGAAAAAAAAACCAGAAAAACUAUUACAAAUAGUAGUAAUGUAAAAAUUAUAUCUGGCAGUCUGGGGCGUAGAUAGAUAGUAAUGCAAAUUAAGAUAGUGAGGGUGUGCAAAUACCAAAAUAGCAGUGCGUGUUAAUAACAAUAAAGCAGGAGAUUAGCAAACCUGAGAAAGCCAAUGAAGGCUGUAGGAAGAGUGUAUAAAAUGCAUGGAGUUGUCAGGAAAAGGUCUUCCAUAAAAAGAGCCGGGCAUAGCUGCAAUGAAGCAUGACAUUGAACCACGUCCACAUGAUUCCUCAAGUUUUUGAUAAAAACUGGGCAAUAAUUUGAAAAUGGAGUUGAAAUCAUUGGACAUGAGAUCAUUCAAGAAAACUUGAAUAUUAGGUAGCUUAAGAAUGUUCAAGUUAUGGCAUUCUCUAUUUAUGCUGUCUAUAAUGCUUUCAACUGCUAACAACGUAUUCGGUCCCGAUGCACAUCCCAGAUCUGCUACUCUUAUGCACUCUGCCUCCGCUAGGUUGGCUUGACAAAACCCCCGAAUGCUCCGAUUGAGUGCAUGGUUGAAAUUCAUAAACACUAAUCUCUGAAGGGUAGAAACUGAUUUAGAGAUCAGUCACAGAAUUAUAUAUAUAGAGGGCCAGAGAGAAAUCAUUCGGACUUCAUCUGAUAUGUAUCACUUGAAAUGUUGAAUUUUUGGCAUAGCUUUCCUCAUCUUCCCCUUCUUUCGUGUGAAGAAUUUGUUCCAUUUCCAGUACCUUGCUGCUACUCUGCAAUUUGGAGUUAUGUUAAAGGUGGGGAGGGUAAGGGUAGCAGUAGUAACAAUCUAGCUAUUGCUAUGCAUGUCAAGGACAAGGGUACUUGGAAGUUGGCAGGAAAUAAAAUGAGAAUUGAUCAGAAACAAUAUUCAUCAGUAGUUAAGGGAAUAUUGAAAGGUUUAAACUACAAUCAAACUCAAUGUGUGAAUAAGAUAUUAAGCUACAUUAGUACUAUGCUUGACCAGUGAAAUGAUUUUGAGCUGAACUACAUAUGAAAGUCACUGGAAAUACUUGUGGGAUGUCAAAUAUCUUCUGUUUUAACCUGCUUUACUCUCUGAAAUAAGCAUUUGCCAAGCAUCAUUAUCAUUCAACAUAUGACUAAGUAUAUAUGUUUCGUCAACCGAUCAAAAUGUGUGGGAGCAUGAUGCUCCAACUUAACUGGUUUUGCUCCUUCUAUCCAACCUUAAUUGAUGGCAAACUCUAAAGCCUAAUAUAUCAAGAUAACUUCACCAAAUGAAAAUCUCGUAAGAUGAGAAUAAUUGGAACAAACCUAUUCAGAAAGUCAAAUGAAUCAGCAGUCACUAUUUUACCAGAACGAAAUUGAAAAUACCACUAGAUUUGCUUGCUUCUGUCACUAUUAUGAUAGAAGACACCACAUUCUUGACUAACUUAGGAGUUCGAUGAUUUUCUUUGGGCUAAUCUAAAAUUCCUUACUAGUUUUGUUCAUGUUGCCUCCGUUUUGCCGCAAUGACACCCCGAGAGGCACACACAUAUAUAUGCUCUGUUUAGUUAGUUGUUGAUAGGGUGUUUCUACAAAAACUGUACAUAUUAAUCGUUUGCAUCAGCAACAAAAUUCAAUAUAUAUUUCUUCAUUCAGUGUUCAGAGAAGUGAUCUAGCCUUUUAGCCAAUUAACAAAUUUUGACUUCUUGAACAAAGUACAUGAAUGUGACAAGCCUGAGACCAAGAAAACAAGAAAUUCGUUUUCUAGUAAUAUCAAAUCAAGUUAGAAUUACUGGCUAAAUGGAAAGUAUGAACAGGUGAACUUUCUCCAUGAAGUCAAACACUCUAAAGACAGCUUUCAUCUCCAACUUUAACAUCAUAAUAUUCCAUAAAAAAAAGAAAAGAAAUCCCCACUGCCCUAAUGCAAAUAUAAUACAUAUAAUCACAAAAUGAAAUAUAAGGAAAAAAUCCUUUUAGAUAACAAAAAAUAUCCACCAGUAGAUAUAAGGCAGAAAGAAAGCCAAAACUGGUACAAAGAUAACUUGUACAAUAGUGCUGACAUACUAAGCCAAAAGCUUAGGCAUCACACACAUCAGUUAAUAUUCAUGGGAGCCACCCCAAGUCAAAGCCGCAAUAUGACUAUGUAUCAAUCUCAUUGAAUAUUGUCCACGAAACUGGAAAACAAACUUCUUCAAGAAAAAAAAAAUUGCUACUAAUUGUUCAACCCAACCAAAUGCUAUGGUAAACAAUGCUGAUAAGUGUUAGGAAAUUGGCUUAAUUUCUUUUAGUCAAGAUCCUUAUUUGGUGUGGAAAGUAACUAGAUUUUAGUUACUUGAAGUAGUAGUCAAGUAAAGUCCUAUUUGGUUUAAAAUUAGAUGUUUUUUGCUACUCUAUAUGAGUUUAGGAAUUAGUAUUGGUUUCCAAUUGUUAUUUGGUUUUUUGGCCAAGUAAUGCUCUCUAUAAAUAGGUAGAUUGGUAUACUACAAAGACACAAGAAAGAAGUGAGAGAGUUUUUAGUGGGUGAGAGGGUUAUACAAGAGUUGGACUCGGGAAUCAAGUUGUAGUUUUGUGGUGUUUUUCCUCUCAUAGUAAGAACAAGUUUUUCAAGUUUUUCUCUUCGUGGACGUAGACUUGCUGAUUAAACCGAACCACGUUAAUUCUUGUGCAUUGCUCAUCGUUUGUGCUAGAUAUUAUUUUCUAUUAAAUUGUUGGUCUUUUUUUUUUUUAAAUAGUUGGCCUGAUACCCUACCAAUAAGACUGAAAAAGGAUCCCACUCAUCACGUGGCCUUAUAACCUCAAAGUCUGGUCUUCCUGAUGCCAAGAAAGAUUCGUACUCUAAAUUGUCUUUAUUGAAAUACAUGUCACUAACCCUGGAAGGUGAGCUCCCUUGGUCAGGAAUCACAACUAAUUUAGGCAUCUUGCUGCUUAUCUUUAGUUAGAAUUCCUAAUGCCCCUUUGCGCAAAACUAUAUGGUCAACGCGUCCAAUAAAUUUUGUAUACUAAAGCUGAGAUGUAAUUGUAUUUUGUGUGUGAUUUUAUUCCCUACACGAGAACAACUGCACUUACAUAAUACUAACUGUUAGUUUUAACAAUAAAUGCCCAUCGAAAAAAAUCGUGUGCAAACCAAAUCCUCUUAGGUGAUUUGGCCACAAAGCAGUAACCUAAUAUGUAAUUCUGACAAUAGGUUAAGAAUUCAAACCCUUUCAAAAUAGUACUGCGUCCUUUUAAUUUAGAAGUUAAUUUCUUUCCCUACCUCCUAUAGUCCACUUGAGUCUUCUCUUAAUAUAAAAUAGCUUAACGAUAAGAGUAGGAAUAGAGUUAGAUAUUAGCGAUUGAAAUGAAAAAAAGGUGUAACAUGACUACCCAAUUAAUUGAUAUCCCCCACAAGAAGAAAAUUCAGCUUCCAAAGGCCUUGUAGGACAAUUCAUAGGUAAAUAUUAUUUGAACCAUAGAUUAUUAAUGAAAUUUAGUAGAGUGCUCGUAUGAAUUCAAGAACAUUAUUCUUCAAGCAUUAGAUUUCCCGUGUGCAAAGAUUACAAAAUAAGUGAAUAUAAGGCGAUAUAAGACAAGGAACAUUCCUUAAUUUGAAUCUAACAUUAGAUAGUAUACAUGUUCUUCCUCUUUCAUAUUUUAGAAAGGGAAACAACCAAAUUGUUGAUGGAGGAGUCCUUGAUCUUUCCAUGAUAUUGUGAGAUUUUGGCGGCUAAUUUGCUGAACAAAUUGUUGAUAAUACCAUCCCUAAAAUGAGCUUGAAUGAGGGGUUCAUAAACAGCUCUCAAGUUCCUAGAAGAUCUUCUAGGCACUGAAUGUUCUAUAUCAAAACGCUUGCUUCCAGACUCAUCAUUAAUAACCUCUAUCAGAAGUAUUAUUAAACAGCAGAUGGAAUUUCUGGUAUACUUAUCAAGAAAGGAACCUCAUCAUUGUACCAUAACUGAACAGCAAGAAACAGCUAGUGACAAGUUGUCGGCCUGUGCAAUAAUAAAAACCUGCUCAACUAAAAUUAAUUUCUGUAGAUAGUGGUAAGCAGGGUCGAAUCCACAGGGAGUGGGAGUAAUUGUUUCUUUUCAAAUUCACAGUGACAAGGGGGGUAUUUUUAUAUCAGAAGUGACAAUUAAAGAAAUUCAAAUAAAACCUAAGAAACUACUACAAAUUAAAUAACAAAUUACUAAAAUCAAAUGAGUAAUAAUUAAGAAUCUAGUCAAGGAAUAACUUCAGCAAUGGUUCACCCAGUUGAUCAUCGAAACAAGGCAAUUCUAAUUAUUUAUCAAUAAAUAGGUUAUAACUUCCAAACAAGCGAUGACAGUUAACCCCUCCUUAUUGUGUCGGUGACUAAGGUACGCCCGUUAAUCACUACUCUAAUUGAGAAAUAAUCUUAGGUACGCCCGUAAGAUUUAAUUCUCCAAUUGCCUUACGUAUUAGAGGAGCCCUAUUCUAACCAAAUAACACACUACCAGGGUUAUUUUAGGUUAGCCCGCGUAUUCCCCUGACACAAAUCCAAUCAUGCCAGUUAUCACUAUUUUGAGACAAUUAAACAAUUACGGAUUUAACGUCCCAAUUGACAAUAGAUUAUCAAAUUAACUAAUUAUCCGGAUCCAAGACAAUCAAUUAAUUAAACAAUCAUAAGCACUGUAACCAGGGAAUAUGCGAAUACCAAUAAAUAAAAAGAAAAGAUAAAAUUAAAUCGAUCUCACAAUUUUUAGGCAAAUCAAAGCCUCCGUUGCUCCUUGACCAGACAAAGGAAAUUAGUUCAUUCUUGGUGAGCAAAGCCCACGUAAAAUUGAAACAAGAGUUGUUUGCUCAUGCGAAAGAAGAAAAACAAUCAAAAGCUACAAAAGGAAAAGUCAAAGGCUGAUGCUUCAUUCCUCAUGCGCAGGGGGCAACCACAAAAGACGAAAGAGAAAAGUCAAAGAAAGCUAAAGGGAGUCUAUUGUUUUUCCUCCUUAUCCGCAACGAGAGAACUCCUCCUAAAAAGCUAAGAAAGGAAAAAUCAAAGCUACUCUAAUGCUUGGCUCCUGUGCCGCGGCCCUUAGGGAAAAGAAAAAUUCAGCCGUCCUCUCCUCUUUAGUAAUUACCAAAAUUGGGCCAAAGUUUUCCUUUGCCAACAAUGCCCCUGGGGUAAGCUUUGCGACUUGGACUCCUUUUCCUGUCAAAUUGGCACUUAUUUUCAUAUUUUUGUUCUACUCCCUGAAAUAAAUGCAAAAUACUAAAAGUGAGUACAAUCCAACAAUUAAUCCACACCAGAUCAGGUAAUAGGAGAAAUUAAUAAUAAAUUAAAUGGUAAAAUUGCAACCUAUCAAUUCCCCCCACACCUAAACCAUGCCUGUUCUCAAGCAUGAUAACAGCAAACAAACCCAAUGUUUGACAAAGACUAUUGCCCUAUCUACCAUAUUGCCAAGACACCAAGAAAAACAUAGAUCGAGUCUCAGUGAUCAAGAUCCAAGAAACAUCACUCCGGUUAACUUCUAAACCACAAACUCCUCCAAUUUCAGGUUAACUAAUCUAAGAAAAAGGAAUGACGCACAACAUUUAUCAGCAAAUGGUCCAACUAUUAACCAAAAUUUCAACAUUAAAUCCAUAAAUCGGCAAGCUGACUAUUAUUAUACACUAACACAACCUUCACUUUUUUAUCACAUUUUUCUACUUUUCUCUUUUUUCUUUCUUUUUUUCUCUCUUUUUUUUUUUUUGGCAUUUCUCAAUAGUAACAAAAGACUUAGUCGCUAGCCAUUGGAGCCUUUUGACGCGAACUCUGACAUUUGUUAGAUGAAAGAGCCCGGUUACUCAGCUCCUAUCGCUAUACGACCACGUACUCAUAGGAAUUACUACCUUUUGACAUGAGAAUCAACACUUUUAGGUGCAGAUCCCCGGUUACUCAGUAGUAACUAAUAGCAGAGUACAGUCAAGUUUAUUCAUAGCUACAAAUCACAAAAACUCAAUAUAACACAAGAACCAAAAGAAAACUUGCAUCAGCUAGCCUCAUUUUCAAACAUAGAGAACUAAAAUUAAUAACCGGACCAAUUCACAUGAAAAUGCCAACAAUCAUUCCCUAUACCUAGGAAAGUUAACCAAAAAUUAUAAGAGUAAAACAAUCAUCGAUAUUUACCAAAGAGAUGUUUUUGGAUUCAACCACAUUAACUUGAUACCCUUUUAUUAUUAAAACUUGGCAAAAGUAGAAAUAGAGGCAACAAUCCAACAUCAAACCUUGGCAUGCACUUAUGAGCCAAUCACUAGAAAGAAAGAAAAUGAACGAGAGGUGGACAAAUAACAAACUAAAAAUAAAGAAAAAAAUCUAAAAACUAAAAAAAAAGACAGAAAAACUAGUAUAGUUGUCCCCCCCCACACCUAGAUCCUACAUUGUCCUCAAUGGAGGGAUUAAAUCAAUUAAAGCGAAGAGGGCAACGAAACUUCCCUCACGAGUGGCAAAAGGGGAGGCAAGAACGGUGCACGGAAACCGAUGUGAUAAAAGUACGCGGCCAAGGUCUGAGACAUCUCAACUCAAUUCAACCAGCAAAUGCAAAACUCUGUCCACCCAAAAUCUCAACAAAGCCUCCAAGUGGACAGUUAAUUUCUCAACUCAAAAGCAGCAAUUCCAGUAAUAGCAGUAUAGAAAUUGGAGAAUAACCACACAAUCACAAGUUUUCUCUUUUCAAUCAGGCAACCAACCAAUUAGAAAUACCAAAUGCUAGGCAAAAUACCCCAACCAGUACCACUGGUGCACGCACAAGUAGGAAACUAUUCAAACAGUCAACCCAAAUAACUUGAUAAAUCCAAACACACCAAUCAGUAUCGAAAAUUAGAAGAAAUCAAAAUGAGAAUCAAUUGGCAAUCAACUCUCAAAUCACCCCCAAUACUCCCAAACAAAUAAACUGCCAAAUGCAACGGCAACGACCAGCCCAAAAAUGUUGUAGGAGCCCUAAACAAAGCACAAGUGAAAAACAAACUAGUCACCUUCUGCUAUUAUGCACCAAGGAACCCAAGAAAACGGUAACAAAAUCUAGCAAUCUGAGACAAAAAAAAAAAGAUUAACGAGGGAGAAAUUUGAAUACCUCCACCUGUCAAGGAUGGACAGGUGGUGACAGGAGCGAGGCUGCUGGUGGAGGCGUGCGAGAGGUGAAGUGUGAUCUGCGUGGCUGGAGGGUAGAGAGAUUGUGGGUGGCGGUGCUUGCAAGUAGACGGCAUGCUGAAAUAGUCGGCAGGAGAGAGCGAGUGAGGAGAGAUGCGGCAGUGACCUGUGGUCGAUUGCGAAGGAAAAUGAGACGGCCGCGAGAGCGGCGACAGCGUCAAGCCAAAGGCGGCGGCGCACGGUCUUGGGGGAGCGAGGACACGGAAAACGCGCGCGAGUUGGCCCGCGCUGGCGGAGGAGAGGGUGCUGCGACGAGCUCACCUGCUGCAGCGGAGAAUUGGUGAAGCUGUUGGCACUGUGAGGAAGAUGGCCGCGAGGCACGCAACGACGGCGCGCUUGACAGGGACGGAUGGCGGCAACAGUCGCAGAGAGAGAGAGACGGCGAGUUGCGAUGGUGGAGAUGGAGGCGGGCAUGAGGUGUGCUCGGUCAAAAGAGAAGAAGAAACAGGGGAGAAGAAAGAAAGAAAAGAGAAAGAAAGAAAGAAAGAAAAGGAAACAAAAGAAAUAAGAGGGAAGAAAGAAAAAGAAAAAGAAAAAGGAAAUAGUUUUUUUUUCAUUUUAUUUUUUUCUCUUUUUAGAUUUUUUUUUACGGGAAGACUCUCCCUUUUGUUUUUAGUUAAUUACUAAAAAAAAGGGUUUUUUAUUUUGAAAAAAAAUAUUUUUGAAGAUUUUUUUUAUAUAUAUAACUUCUCUCUUUUUUUUAUUGACAAAAUUUAUUUUUGAAAUACAAAAGUAGAGAUUAACAAAAAAUCAAUAAUCAUUCUUGAGCUUUUUUUGAAUAUUUACCUUUCCCGCGAACGUGACGCGGGCACGUCAAGAGGGCAAGAACUCCUUCUGAUGAUUCUGACCACGAGCUCUCCAUAUGUCAUGACGCGGGCACGUCAUGAGGGCAAGAACCCCUUCUGAGGAUUCUGACCAUGAGCUCUCUGUUCAUCAUGACGCGGGCGCGUCAUAAGAGAAAAACACCUACAAAUCAUCAAAACGAAAAUUGAAAUCCGAAAUCAUUCAAAUUUAAGGAAAACAUAUUUAAACUAUCACAUGAAAUCAAAACAAACAAUUAAAAGAAACAAUUGGGUUGCCUCCCAAUGAGCGCCUUUCUUUAAUGUUUUUGGCUAGACAUUAUCAUGUUUUGUUCAUGGAGGAUAAAAUUGUGUGACUCGUCUUAAUGUUUCAUCCUCUGUAUAGUCCUGAUAACCCUCGUAAAUAGAGUAAUCCUUGAGCGCACGAGUUAUGGGUUUCCAUGGACUAGUAAAUGGCGCUAAGCAAGUCAACGAUAAUUUGCAUUCUCUACUCACUCCUCCAUCACACGCAUUUAUCGGUUCAAUAUAUUUUGCCAUCUCCACGCUUGACUUAUUCCUGUCAUGAAAUUUUAAAUUUUCUGAUAUAAUAAAAUCAAUUUCAGAAACAGGAGUUGAAGAAUAUGAGUCAGGAAAAUGUUGAUUAAGCAAUGGAGAAGAUGUCAUCGCAUUUGGAGAUUGUACACUGGAUUCAUUCACUUGGACGGAUUGAUAUUCGGGGCUCAUUUUUUGCAUAUCAACUUUCUUUUCAACUACACCUUUAGAUUCGUCUCCUUGAAACUCUUGCAGUUCCAUGUCAUUUGGCCGGAUAAUUGCACUCUCAUCUUCCUCAAGGUCAAUGUUGGUCUGUGAGGGCAUGACAGGUUGUCGGCCUGUGCAAUAAUAAUUACCUACUCGAGAAAAAUACAGAUUUUAUAUAUAGCGGUGAGUAUGGUUGAAUCCACAGGGACUGAGGAUAACUUAUUUCUUUUAGAGUCCGAAAUAUGGGGGGUUUUUUUGAGAAUAUAAAAUAACUAAUUAACUAACUAAUAAAACAACUACUAGAAAUAAAUAGAAAUUAAUCAAUAACCAAUACGACUCUAGCCAAAGAUACAACUUUUCAGACAUGGUCCAUUCAACUGAUCAUCAUGCAAAGAUAAUUCAAUUACUCAUUACUAGAUUGGUUAUAGUUGUCAUACACGCGAUGAACAACCAGCCUUUCCUUAAUUUCUCGAUAGUUAAGGUACGACCGUUAACUAUUUCUCUAACCAAGAAAUAACCCUAGGUACGACCGUAGGAUUUAAUUACUCGAUUGCAUUAAAAAUUAGAAAAGCCCAACCCUACCUAACAAACACGCUACGAGGGUUUGUUUAAGUUAGAUCAUACAUUUCCCUAACAUGAAACCAAUCACGCUAGUCGCCACUGGUGUUAAUCAAUUGAACAAUUACGGAUUCAAUCAAUUAAUUUGGCAUUAGAUCAUUAAGUUAAUUCGAAUAUCGGGCCCUUGACAUUCAAAUAACAUAACAAGCAUAAGCCAUUAAAUCAAGAAACGCACAAAUACCAAUAAAUAAAAGAAAUAGGUAAAAUAAUUAGAUCUCACAGAUGUUCGGAACCGAAUCCUCAAAUUGACCUUCGACUAGAAAAAAUGAAUUAGUUCAUCUUCAUGGAGGAAAUCCCAUGCAAAAGUGCAGAAGUAAUUCUCUAAAAAAAAGCUAUGUUUCCGUCCUCUUCUUUCAUAGAAGAAAACGGCAAAGCUAUAUAUAUUUCUGAAUACGAAGGAACUAGCAAGGACAAAAACAAAACGAAGCUCUCCUAUUCUAAAACAAAGACUACUUGUCUAGUGGUCCCCGCCGAAUUUAGAGAAAAGGGUGCAAUCCGUCAGAUCAAGCUCUCUACCGAAUUUUUCUCCUUUUGUUUCCUAUUGCUAAUCAAAGACUCCCAUCAGCACAAAGAAAAGGAAAUCGUUUUCUUCUUCUCCUUGUGGGCCAGCAACCGAAAAAGGCUUCCUUGUAGCACCAUAUGGGGCCCAACUGUUUGAAAUCUCAAUUGUAUAGUGGAAAGUCCCUCAUUUUUUGUAGUUUUCUGCUCCAUUCUCUGAAAUUAAGUCCAGAUACCAUAUAUAACCAAAUAUAAGUAGAUAUUAACAAUUAAAACAAUAUUUGACAGGGACAAAGGGGAAAUUAAUAAUAAAAUAACCAACAAUUAAUACCCUAUCAAUUCCCCCCACACCUAAAUCAUGCUUGCCCUCAAGCAUGAGAACAGCAAUUGAAUAUCAAAAUUUGACAAUGGCUAUUGCUCCAACUACCGUAUUGCCAAGAUACCCAGAAAAACAUAUAUCAAGCAUCACAGGUCAAGAUCAAAGAAAAUCACCCCGGUUAGCUUCCCAACCACCAACUUCUCCAAUUUAAAACAAACUAAUCUAAGAAAAAGGAAUGGUUGCUCAUAUUUAUCAGCAAAUGGUCCAACUAUUAACCAAAAUCUCAACAUUAAACCCAUAAAAUGGCAAGCUGACUUUUAUCACAUUUUCUAUUUUUUUUUCUUUUCAAUAGCAACUAAUGACUUAAUCUCUAGCCAUUGGAACCUUUUGACUCGAACUCCAACAUUUGUCAAAUGAAGGAGCCCGGUUACUCAGCUCCAAUCGCUACGGGACCACGCACUCAUAGUAGCUACUACCUUUUGACGCGAGAAUCGACACUUUAGGUGAAGAUCCCCGGUUACUCAGUAGUAACAACUAGUGGAGUAUAGUCACCUCUUAUUUACAAUCAUAUAGCACAAUAACUAAAAAAAAUAACACAAAAAUAACAGCAGCCAACCUAAAAUUUCUAACCAUGGAGAACUAAAAUUAAUAACUGGACCAAUUCACAUGAAAAAUGCCAACAAUCAUUCCCUAUGCCUAGAAAAGUUAACCAAAAAUUCGAAAAGUUAAGCAAUUAUUGAUAUUCACCAAAGAGAUGUUCCUGAACUCAACCACAUUAACUUGAUACCUUUUUAUCACUAAAACUUGGCAAUAUCAGAAUUAGAGACAACAAUCCAGCAUCAAACUUGGUAUCAUAUGAAGACCGACCACUAGAAAAAAAAAGAAAAGAAAAUAAACGAAAAAGGAGAUAAAUAUCAAACUAAAACAAAGGAAAAACCCCUAGAACCUAAAAACUAAAAAUACUAGCACCCAAACUGAUCUCCCCCCUACACCUAAAUGACACAUUGCCCUCAAUAUGAUAAUGUAAAAGCAGAAGGAAGGAGAGGGCGACGGUACUUCACUGGAGUCAUCAAAAUAGGGGCAGUUCAGGUGGAAAUUGUGGAUCAACUCGCAUCUGGAGCUAGUGCCAUUCGUGGCUUCACCAUGGACUCUAGACAUCACUUUAAGCAACAAGAGACUACAAUUGCCAACAAAUAAUGGAAGCCGGAAAUUCAAAGCAAUAACAAUUUCAAAGCCAACCCAACGAAUAAAAUGCACAAUUCAACCACCCAGAGGACAUACAAAUACUCCAACACUUAUAGCAAUGGCAAUCAAUAAGCACUUGCGGUCCCAAUGUUGUCAAUUUCAGAAUCAAUGCAGUCCAAAAGUGCAACAAAUGCUCCAAAGAUGUAGGACUUGAAUUUAAGAGACAGAGUACCCCAACCAAGUCAAUUAGGCACAAUCGAUCAGCAAUAAGUAAAGGAAGGGGCACAGUAGCCUUCCAAUUCAACAAACAGACGCAGAAAGUACCCCACAAUACCAGAGGACAGCUCCCAACAAUGCACCAAAACAACAAGUCUAACGAAAUGAGAGUGGUGCCACUAGCUAAUCUAAAGAACAAAUUUCAGCACCGGGACACAAUGCCACCCAAAAUCUCAACAACUGUCUCCAAUUGGACAGGCAAAUACCCAAUUAAACCUACCAAAAUUAGCAAAUGACCCAAGAAACCGACAAAACCAACAAAAGUAGUUCAAAAGUUGGAUAGAAACAACUCAAUCACAAAUGCUCAGCAGUCACAACUCGAUCAAUUAGGCAACCAAUAACCCAGGAUUGACAAAUGUUAAAACAACUUCCAUCGCCAGUGCCACUGGUGAAUGCACAGGGAAAAACUAAAUCAAAUAGCCAACUCAAAUUUGAUCCUCACAGAUGAAAAUAGAGGCCUCAAGUAGGCAAAACCAAAUCAAUGCUCAACAAUGGAAUCAAUACUAGAGAAUACCCCCAAAUGGAGCAGCAAAUAAACUUAGUUCCACCAAAAUUAACCCAAGAAAAUGCCUAAAUCACCCCCUGCUUUCAGCUAUCAAGAAACCCAUGAAACAAAAGCUCAAAUUCCAGCAAUAGAAGAACCAGACAAAUACUAAUCGAGGUGGAAGAGUCAAUACCUCCACCUGUCAAAUUGGACAGGUGGGAAUGGCGUGACAGUGGGUGGCGUGAGCAGCGGGGCAGCGGCGGCCGGCGAGCUAGGUACGGCUGGGCAGAGCUAUCGGCGAGCUUUGGAGCUGCUGGUGCGUGUGGUGGUGAGCUGGUGAGUGGAGACAGCGGCGAAGAGGGUGGCGGCGGGUUGAGGCAGAGGGGUGCAAGCUGGUGGUGGAGAGAGGAGGCCACGGCGCGCUUGAGAGCUGGCGGUGCUCGCGUGGUGGUGGACCGUGAGGCUGAGAGAGAAACGACCAGGAGAGAGGGAGAAAGCGAGAAGGGGACGGCGUGGGCUGCUGGUGGAGCGGAGGUGGAGUUGGUGAGCGCGAGGUUGGCGGGCAAGAGGUAGCCGUGACGUGCGAGGUAGAGGAGAGAGGCAGCGGCGUGAAAGAAAAAGAAGAAAAAAAGGGAAACAGGGGAGCGGCGGAGAAGAAGAAGAAAAGGAAAGGAAAGAAAGAAAAGAAAGGAAGAAAGAAAAAAAAUAGUUUUUGGGUUUUUUGUUUUCAAUGAUUUUUCCAAAUUUUUUUCCGAAUUUAAUUUUUCAAAAUUUGAAUUUUUGAAGAAAAAGAAAAGAAAAAAAUGUUUUUUUUUAAAAAUUUUUGAAUUUUUUUUCAAUGUGAAUUUAAAAAAAAAAUUUUUGAAUUCAUUUUUGGGUCGUCAAACACCGUGUGGGCACGCCAAGAUUAUAAAACGUCCACUGAUCUCAGGAGACACAAACACCGCGUGGGCACGCCAAGAUUGGUAAACGUCCACUGAUCUCAGGAGUCACAAACACCGCAUGAGCUGGCCAAGAUUGCACUUCCUGGUCACAGUGAAGAAAAAUAUCAAGAUCGACUACUACCCAAAUGAGAAACAACAAAACGAAAGAAUUGAACAACGAAAAACAAUAAAAUCAAUAUUUGGGUUGCCUCCCAAAAAGCGCCUUUCUUUUAUGUUUUUGGCUAGACAUUGUCAUAUUUGUUCAGGGAAGAUAAAAUCUUGUAACUCGUUUUAAUGUUUCAUCCUCUAUAUGGUCCUGAUAGCCCUCGUAAAUAGAGUAAUUAUUGGGCACACGAGUUACGGGGUUCCAUGGACUAGUAAAUGGCGCCAAACAAGUCAACGAUAAUUUGCAUUCUCCACUCACUCCUCCAUCACACGUCUUUAUCGGUUCAAGAUAUUUUAUCAUCUCCACUCUUAACUUAUUCCUGUCAUGAAAUUUUAAAUUUUCUGGUAUAAUAAAAUCAAUUACAAUAACAGGAGUUGAAGAAUAGGAGUCAGAAAAAUAUUGAUUAAGGAAUGGAGAAGAUGUCACCGUAUUUGGAGAUUGUACACUGGAUUCAUUCACUUGGACGGAUUGAUAUUGGGGUCUCAUUUCUUGCACUUCACUUUCCUUUUCAACUACAUCUUUAGAUCCGUUUCCUUGAAACUCUUGCAGUUCCAUGUCAUUCGGCCAGAUAAUUGCACUCCCAUCUUCUUCAAGGUUGAUAUUGGGUUGUGAGGGCAAUUCUUCAAGGUGAGAAGCUAAUCGCUCUAUCCUGGAUGUCAAUUGAUGCACUUGAUCCGCCAGGUUUUUAAGGCUCGCUUGUGUCUCCUGAUGAAAUCGAUAUGUAUUAGUAGCAAAUAAUUCAAUCAAUUCCUGAAGAGACAUACCUGACAUGGAUGAUGGUUGAUGAGACUCUUGCUGUUGAAAACUCAUUGGUCCAGUCGCAUAAUUAAAAUUGGAAUUAUCCCACAAUCCUUGAUCAUACCUGUUUGGGUAAGGGUCAUACCACGUUUGAAAUCGAGGUGAAAAAUCUCCAAAAGUAUCAAUUGGAGCACUUAGAUGAUCUUGAAAUGCGGGACAUGUGUCGGUUGAAUAACCUAAGCCAAAAUAAGUUCCACCAUUUGCAACAGCCCAUUGAUCAUUAGGAAAAUCAUAAGUCUCAUAACCCCAUUCAGGAAUAAAGUCCAGUCUAUCAUCAAAAUAUGGAAUAUUAGCAGCCAUAAACUAUAAAAAAAAAUAGAAAAAUAAAACAAAAAGAAUAUGAAAACAAGAUGAACUAAAAAAGAAACAAAUUAAUCUGGCACCAGUCCCCGCCAACAGCGCCAAAAAUUGACAGGUUGUCGGCCUGUGCAAUAAUAAUUAUCUACUCGAGAAAAAUACAGAUUUUGUAUAUAGCGGUGAGUAGGGUCGAAUCCACAGGGAUUGAGGAUAACUUAUUUCUUUUAGAGUCCGAAGUAUUGGGGGUUUUUUUGAGAAUAGAAAAUAACUAAUUAACUAACUAAUAAAACAACUACUAGAAAUAAAUAGAAAUUAAUCAAUAACCAAUACGACUCUAGCCAAAGAUACAACUUUUCAGACAUGGUCCAUUCAACUGAUCAUCGAUGCAAAGAUAAUUCAAUUACUCAUUACUAGAUUGGUUAUAGUUGUCAUACACGCGAUGAACAGCCAGCCUUUUCUUAAUUUCUCGAUAGCUAAGGUACGACCGUUAACUAUUUCUCUAACCAAGAAAUAACCCUAAGUACAACCGUAGGAUUUAAUUAUUCGAUUGCAUUAAAAAUUAGAAAAACCCAACCCUAACUAACAAACACGCUACGAGGGUUUGUUUAAAUUAGAUCAUACGUUUUUCUAACAUAAAACCAAUCACGCUAGUCGCCACUGGUGUUAAUCAAUUGAACAAUUACAGAUUCAAUCAAUUAAUUUGGCAUUAGAUCAUUAAAUUAAUUCGAAUAUCGGGCCCUUGACAUUUAAAUAACAUAACAAGCAUAAGCAAUUAAAUCAGGAAACGCACAAAUACCAAUAAAUAAAAGAAAUAGGUAAAAUAAUUAGAUCUCACAGAUAUUCAGAACCAAAUCCUCAAAUUGACCUUCGACUAGAAAAAAUGAAUUAGUUCAUCUUCAUGGAGAAAUCCCAUGCAAAAGUGCAGAAGUAAUCCUCUAAAAAAAAGCUAUGUUUCCCUCCUCCUCUUUCAUAGAAGAAAACGGCAAAGCUAUAUAUAUUUCUGAAUACGAAGGAACUAGCAAGGACAAAAACAAAACGAAGUUCUCCUAUUCUAAAACAAAGACUACUUGUCUAGUGGUCCCCGCCAAAUUUAGAGAAAAUAGUGCAAUCCGUCAGAUCAAGCUCUCUAUCGAAUUUUUCUCCUUUUGUUUCCUAUUGCUAAUCAAAGACUCCCAUCAGCACAAAGAAAAGGAAAUCGUUUUCUUCUUCUCCUUGUGGGCCAGCAACUGAAAAAGGCUUCCUUGUAGCACCAUAUGGGGCCCAACUGUUUGAAGUCUCAAUUGUAUAGUGGAAAGUCCCCAUUUUUUUGUAGUUUUCUGCUCCAUUCCCUGAAAUUAAGUCCAGAUACCAUAUAUAACCAAAUAUAAGUAGAUAUUAACAAUUAAAACAAUAUUUGACAGGGACAAAGGGGAAAUUAAUAAUAAAAUAACCAACAAUUAACACCCUAUCAGGGCAAUUCUUCAAGGUGAGACGCUAAUCGCUCUAUCCUGGAUGUCAAUAGUUGCAUUUGAUCUGCCAGGUCACGCAUGCUCGCUUGUGUCUCCUGAUGAAAUCGAUAUGUAUUAGUAGCAAAUAAUUCAAUCAAUUCCUGAAGAGACAUACCUGACAUGAAUGAUGGUUGUUGAGACUCUUGCUAUUGAAAACCCAUUGGCCCGGUCGCAUAAUUAAAACUGGAAUCAUCCCACCAUCCUUGAUCAUACCUGUUUGGGUAAGGGUCAUACCACGUUUGAAAUCCAGGUGAAAAAUCUCCAAAAGUAUCAAUUGGAGCACUUAGAUUAUCUUGAAAUGCGGGGCAUGUGUCGGUUGAAUAACUUGAGGGAAAAUAAGUUCCACAAUUUGCAACGGCCCAUUGAUCAUUAGGAAAAACGCGAGUCUCAUAACCUCAUUCAGGAAUAAAGUCCAGUCUAUCAUCAAAAUACGGAAUAUUAGCAGCCAUAAACUAUAAAAAAAAACAGAAAAAUAAAAUAAAAAAAUAUAUGAAAACAAGAUGAACUCAAAAAGAAACAAAUUAAUCUGGCACCAGUCCCUGGCAACGGCGCCAAAAAUUGACAGGUUAUCAGCCUGUGCAAUAAUAAAACCUGUUCAAACUAAAAGUAAUUUCUGUAGAUAGCGGUAAGUAGGGUCGAAUCCACAGGGACUGGGAGUAAUUGUUCCUUUUCAAAUUCACAGUGACAAGGGGGUGCUUUUAUAUCAGGGGUAACAAUUUAAACAAUUCAACUAAAAGUAAAAUAAUAAAAAUAAAAUAGUCAAUUAGAAAUUAAAUAACAAAUUAUUAAAAUCAAAUGAGCGAUAAUUAAGGAUCUAGCCAAGGAAUAACUUCAGCAAUGGUUCACCUAAUUGAUCAUUGAAACAAAGGCAAUUCCAAUUAUUCACUAAUAAAUAGGUUAUAACUGUCAAACAAGCGAUGACAGUCAACCCCUCCUUAUUGUGUCGGUGACUAAGGUACGCUCGUUAAUCACUAUUCUAAUUGAAAAAUAAUCUUAGGUACGUCCGUAAGAUUUAAUUCCCCAAUUGCCUUAUGUAUUAGAGGAGCCCUAUUCUAAUCAAAUAACACACUACCAGGAUUAUUUUAAGUUAGCCCGCGUAUUCCCCUGACACAAAUCCAAUCAUGCCAGUUAUCACUAUUUUGAGACAAUUAAAUAAUUACGGAUUUAACGUCCUAAUUGACAAUAGAUUAUCAAAUUAACUAAUUAUCCGGAUCCAAGACAAUCAAUUAAUUAAACAAUCAUAAGCACUAUAACCAGGAAAUAUGCGAAUACCAAUAAAUAAAAAAAGGAUAAAAUUAAAUCGAUCUCAUAAUUUUUAGGCGAAUCAAAAUCUCCGUUGCUCAUUGACUAGACAAAGGAAAUUAGUUCAUUCUUGCUGAACAAAGCCCACGCAAAAUUGAAACAAGAGUUGUCUGCUCAUGCGAAAGAAGAAAAACAAUCAAAAGCUACAAAAGGAAAAGUCAAAGGCUGAUGCUUCAUUCCUCAUGCGCAGGGGGCAACCAUAAAAGACGAAAGAGAAAAGUCAAAGAAAGCUAAAGGGAGUUUAUUGUUUUUCCUCCUCAUCCCCAACGAGAGAACUCCUCCUAAAAAGCUAAGAAAGGAAAAAUCAAAGCUACUCUAAUGCUUGGCUCCUGUGCGGCGGCCCUUAGGGAAAAGAAAAAUUCAGCCGUCCUCUCCUCUUCAGUAAUUACCAAAAUGGGCCAAAGUUUUCCUUUGCCAACAAUGCCCCUGGAGUAAGCUUUGCGACUUGGACUCCUUUUCCUGUCAAAUUGGCACUUGUUUUCAUAUUUUUGUUUUAUUUCUUGAAAUAAAUGUAAAAUACUAAAAAUAAGUAGAAUCCAAUGAUAGAACGGUUAUUUGGCAUAUUUUGCACUGUUAUUUUGUCCUAAUUUUGGCUAUUCACGGUGCUAAGAAUUGGAAUUUCACUCAUAUUCGAUAUUUGUGUGAAUUGUAGGUGGUGGGCAUGGAAAAUGAUCUCGCGAGGUAAAUUUCCAGAAGACUUUUCGUCUCAGGGCGUGGCCACGCCUUAGAAGGUGGACGAAAUCGAAAGACGGACCAUGGUCCACGUGAACCGCGAGAAGCACAGGAUUAAAACUCCAAAGGCUUCAAUUAAAAAGCAAAGAAAGGGGUCAGACGUGAAAAGGCUCCUGCGGCGGCUAUAUAAAGAAAAGGAAAGCAAGAUUCAAGAUAACUACUUUUAGCCUAGGUUCUCUUUUUCGACUUUUUGGGGGCAAGAUUUGUCAGACGCUGUUGUUUUUCUUUUGUUUUCUUCGGCGGCUCUGGGUCAGACAUUGGGGGACUUCCUCCUUUGCUGUAGCUUUUGCUCCGGGCUUCUGUACAAUUUUUCCUAUUCGACUUUUGCUUCUACUUUCGCUCCAGGGGUACGAACACGAAACCCAACAAAGGGAAGCAAAGGUUUUUCAGCCGUUCCUUCGUUAAUUCAUCUUUUCCAAUUCUUCGGCAAUUAAUUGAAUGAAUUCAAUUAAAUCACGCGGGAUUGACACGAUGAGGAGCGGCUAAUUUUCUCCUCUACCCAAAGGUUGACGCGAGGGCGCGGUCCAUAAUAUCUAUGAGAUCUAAUCGAAUCUUCAUUAUUUCUUCCAAUUUAUUGCUAUUCGUGCGUUUCCUGAAUUAAUUGAUCAUGGGUAUUUUAUUAAUUGAAUAUCAACGGCCGGGUAUUUGAUUUAAUUUAAUAGUCUACUGCCACGUUAAUUAAAUAGAAUCCGUAAUUGUUCAUUUAGUUAACACCUCGUGGCAACCACCAUAAUUGGUUUUAUGAUGGGGAAACGCAAGAUCUAGCUUAAAUAAACCCUCUUAGCGUGUUUAUUGGUUAGGGUUGGGUUCUUCUAGGUUUAAUGCAAUUGAGUAAUUAAAUUCCUACGGUCGUACCUAGGGUUGUUAUCUGGUUAGGGAAGCAGUCAAUGGUCGUACCUUGACUGUCGAAAAGGUAAGGAAGAAUUGGUUGUCAGAGCUUAUUGAUAACUAUAACCAAUCUAGUGAUGAAUGGAUGAAAUAUCUUUGCAUCGAUGAGCAUUUAUUCGGACCGUGCCUGAACAGUUGAUCCUUUGGGUAGAACUUUUAUUAAUUGCUAUUUUUAGUAAAUUGUGCUUUGUGAGUUAGUUUUGAGUUUUGUUUCUUUUAUUUUUAUUUUUAUUUUCCUCCCAUAAAAAACCCCCCAUACUCUGAACUCUAGAAGAAACGAAUUAUUCCCAAUCCCUGUGGAUUCGACCCUACUCACCGCUAUAUACAAAAUUUGUAAUUUUCUCGAGUAGGUAUUUAUUAUUGUACAGGUUCGACACCUGUCAAUUUUUGGCGCCGUUGCCGGGGACUGGUGCCUGAUUAAUUUGUUUUUUUUUGAGUUCAUUUUUUUUUCUCUUAUUUUUUUUUUGUAUAUAUUUUAUGGCUGCUAACAUUCCGUAUUUUGGUGAUAGAGUGGAUUUUAAUUUUACAAGGGGUUAUGAGACUCAUGCUUUUUCUAAUGAUCAAUGGGCUGUUGCAAAUUGUGGAGCUUAUUUUGCUUCGAAUUUUUCACCCGACAUAUGCCCUGCAUUUCAAGAUGGUCGAAGUACUCCAAUCGAUACUUUUGGGGAUUUUUCACCUCAAUAUCAAACGUGGUACGACCCUUAUUCAAACGGGUAUGAGCAAGGAUGGUGGGAUGAUUCUACUUUUAAUUAUGAACAAAGGCCAAUAGAUUUUCAACAGCUAGAGCCUCAAGAACCGUCAUCCAUGUCAGGUAUGUCUCUUGAAGAAAUAGUUGAAUUAAUAGCGACUAACACAUAUCAAAUUCAACAGGAGACACAUCAAAUUCAACAGGAGACACAUCAAAUUCAACGGGAGACACGUCAAUUUCAACAGGAGACACAAAGAUUGAUUAAAGAGAUGGAAGAUGGAAGGCGUGAAUUGGCAUCUACAAUGAGCAAAUUGAUUUCUCCAUUUUGUGAAGAAUUGCCCUCAGCGACUAUUAUCGACCAUGAAGAAGAUGAGGGUAUAAUUAUCCUGACAAAUGACAUGGAACUGCAAGAGUCUCAUGAAGAAGGAUCUAAAGAUGCAGUUGAAAAGAAAGUUGAAGUGCAAGACAUGAGACCCCAAUAUCAAAUUGUUCAAAUGAAUGAAUCUAAUGAACAAUCUCCAAAUGCGGUGACAUCUCUUCCAUUCCUUAAUCAAUAUUUUCCUGACUCUUAUUCUUUAAUUCCUGUUAGUGAGAUUGAUUUUAUUAUACCGGACGAUUUUGAAUUUCAUGCCAGGAAUAAGUUAAGAGUCAUGAUGACAAAAUAUCUCGAAGCAAUAAGCGCUCGUGAUGGAGGAGUGACUGAAGAUUUAAGGUCAUCACUUGUUUGUUUGGUGCCAUCUACUAAUCCAUGGAAGACCGUAGCUCGUGGACUCAAGAAUUACUCUAUUUACGAGGGCUAUCAGGACUACAUAGAAGAUGAAGCACUGAAACGAGCUACACGAUUUUAUCCUCCGUGAAUAAACAGGACAAUGUCUAGCCAAAGACAUUAAAGAAAGGCUCUGCUUGGGAGGCAACCCAAGGAAUUUUUUGUUUUAGUUUUCUUAUAUUUUUGAAAUUUUUAUUAAGUGUUAGUGUCAUUUAGUGGAUUGUUGUUUUGUGGCAGGAAGCUGGCAGUUGGACAUGCCCACUCUAGUUGAUCAUGCCUAAGGAAUGAAGCUUUGGAAUUGAUGGUCAGAAGACUUUAGCUUCCAAGGCGUGCCCACGCCUUCCAACCCUUCCGAAAAAGAAACUUCAGUCUUCUCCUUCCUGUUGGUGUUGCGUCCGCCGCAACCACACCACCUUGUGCACGCAGCCGUCUCACCCCCCUCCGCCUUAGUAUCUCAUUUUCACUCCCCGGUGGUCAGGGAAGUUUCUCCUCUUUCCUCCUGAUACUUUAUUUGUCUCUUCUACAUUGAGGACAAUGUAGGUCUUAGGUGUGGGGGGAGUGGAUUCCAUUGGUUCUUUUUCAUUAGUUACUCGAAAAAAAGAGAAAAAAAAAACAUGGGUUGAAAAAAAAAAUAAAAAAUGAAAAACAUUGUAGUUAGUCGGCUUUUUGGUUAUUUCUAUGCUUGUUAGUGUUGGGGCAUGUUGCUGUGAUGAAUGACACAAUCAAAGUGAGUGGUUAUGUGGUCGGAUAUGCUAGCUGUGCAUCUUGCUUCCCUUGGCAAUGUCAUUGAAUGUUGAAUAUGUUGGAAUUGACCCAUUUUUGAAACUUUUGGGAGUUUUUGAGCCUUAUAUGAGCACAUUAUUCUUAUUUGCUCUAUUUUUGUUUGAUUGAGUGGGUAUCACACAUGGUAUCGGCAUUCUAGAACUUGCUAUUUUAUACAUGUCGAGACCACAUUUUGUUGAACUGGAUGCAUUUGAAAUGAUAAGGGCAUUUAGGAUUUGACCUUCUUUAACUUUCUAUAAACCAUGCCUUCAUCUUAUUUCCCAAUAGUGAACCAACUUGAGCUUUUAUCCUUUACUUUUGCUUGUUAGCCGUGUUUGAUAACCCAUGACCUUUUUAGACUUUCUUGUUCAAUCUUGUGUCAUUAAGGGAUGUCUGAAAUUCAUUACUUGUGCAAGGCAAAUAAAUCUAUGGGCGCAAGUGUUGUCAAAAAGAUGUUGUAUGGUGCUGUUUCUGUACAUCUGAGAUCGAAAGAAAAGCCAAGAAAAAAAAUAAAGAAAAAAAGGGGAAAAAUUGGCAAAAAGCUGGUGAGCAGAAGACUCUGUCUUCCAGGACGUGCCCACGCCUUGCUAGACGUCCUCUCCAAAAAAAAAAAAAUGAGGAACGAUUUUCGACACUUGCACAAUGAAAACAACAAAUGAAAACGCCCUACUUGCGAAAUUGCCCCGGUAAAGCAUUGUGGUUAUGUAGUGGAUAUUGGACAUUCUCUUGACACAUUACACCCUAUUUUUACCUUCUUAUCCCGCCUUUUAUCUAAACCCCAUUGCAACCCUAUUAAAGUCCCUUUGAUUUGUGUAUUUAGUUCACUUUUGAGUGGUGGAGAUGUGAUAAAUGUGCAAGCCUAUGGUAAUGCAUUCCGUGAUGUUGAAUUGAGCGUUCCUAGUAUUCAUAUAUAUUCUUUGAAUUACAACAUGUCCGGUGUGUUCCACCUUUGGUGAUAUUGUCAGGGACCCUAGAUGCUUGUGUUAGUUUAGACUACUACAUGACCUCUGCUCUCUUGGUUGUACUUCUGAGCUCCGAAAUGCUUGAGGGCAAGCAUUGUCUAGGUGUGGGGGGAUUUGAUAGAACGGUUAUUUGGCGUAUUUUACACUGUUAUUUUGUCCUAAUUUUGGCUAUUCACGGUGCUAAGAAUUGGAAUUUCACUCAUAUUCGAUAUUUGUGUGAAUUGUAGGUGGUAGGCAUGGAAAAUGAUAUCGCGAGAUAAAUUUCCAGAAGACUUUUCGUCUCAGGGCGUGGCCACGCCUUAGAAGGUGGACGAAACCGAAAGACGGACCAUGGUCCACGUGAACCGCGAGAAGCACAGGAUUAAGACUCCAAAGGCUUCAAUUAAAAAGCAAAGAAAGGGGUCAGACGUGAAAAGGCUCCUGCGGCGGCUAUAUAAAGAAAAGGAAAGCAAGAUUCAAGAUAACUACUUUUAGCCUAGGUUCUCUUUUUCGACUUUUUGGGGGCAAGAUUUGUCAGACGCUGUUGUUUUUCUUUUGUUUUCUUCGGCGGCUCUGGGUCAGACAUUGGGGGACUUCCUCCUUUGCUGUAGCUUUUGCUCCGGGCUUCUGUACAAUUUUUCCUAUUCGACUUUUGCUUCUACUUUCGCUCCAGGGGUACGAACACGAAACCCAACAAAGGGAAGCAAAGGUUUUUCAGCCGUUCCUUCGUUAAUUCAUCUUUUCCAAUUCUUCGGCAAUUAAUUGAAUGAAUUCAAUUAAAUCACGCGGGAUUGACACGAUGAGGAGCGGCUAAUUUUCUCCUCUACCCAAAGGUUGACGCGAGGGCGCGGUCCAUAAUAUCUAUGAGAUCUAAUCGAAUCUUCAUUAUUUCUUCCAAUUUAUUGCUAUUCGUGCGUUUCCUGAAUUAAUUGAUCAUGGGUAUUUUAUUAAUUGAAUAUCAACGGCCGGGUAUUUGAUUUAAUUUAAUAGUCUACUGCCACGUUAAUUAAAUAGAAUCCGUAAUUGUUCAUUUAGUUAACACCUCGUGGCAACCACCAUAAUUGGUUUUAUGAUGGGGAAACGCAAGAUCUAGCUUAAAUAAACCCUCUUAGCGUGUUUAUUGGUUAGGGUUGGGUUCUUCUAGGUUUAAUGCAAUUGAGUAAUUAAAUUCCUACGGUCGUACCUAGGGUUGUUAUCUGGUUAGGGAAGCAGUCAAUGGUCGUACCUUGACUGUCGAAAAGGUAAGGAAGAAUUGGUUGUCAGAGCUUAUUGAUAACUAUAACCAAUCUAGUGAUGAAUGGAUGAAAUAUCUUUGCAUCGAUGAGCAUUUAUUCGGACCGUGCCUGAACAGUUGAUCCUUUGGGUAGAACUUUUAUUAAUUGCUAUUUUUAGUAAAUUGUGCUUUGUGAGUUAGUUUUGAGUUUUGUUUCUUUUAUUUUUAUUUUUAUUUUCCUCCCAUAAAAAACCCCCCAUACUCUGAACUCUAGAAGAAACGAAUUAUUCCCAAUCCCUGUGGAUUCGACCCUACUCACCGCUAUAUACAAAAUUUGUAAUUUUCUCGAGUAGGUAUUUAUUAUUGUACAGGUUCGACACCUGUCAAUUUUUGGCGCCGUUGCCGGGGACUGGUGCCUGAUUAAUUUGUUUUUUUUUGAGUUCAUUUUUUUUUCUCUUAUUUUUUUUUUGUAUAUAUUUUAUGGCUGCUAACAUUCCGUAUUUUGGUGAUAGAGUGGAUUUUAAUUUUACAAGGGGUUAUGAGACUCAUGCUUUUUCUAAUGAUCAAUGGGCUGUUGCAAAUUGUGGAGCUUAUUUUGCUUCGAAUUUUUCACCCGACAUAUGCCCUGCAUUUCAAGAUGGUCGAAGUACUCCAAUCGAUACUUUUGGGGAUUUUUCACCUCAAUAUCAAACGUGGUACGACCCUUAUUCAAACGGGUAUGAGCAAGGAUGGUGGGAUGAUUCUACUUUUAAUUAUGAACAAAGGCCAAUAGAUUUUCAACAGCUAGAGCCUCAAGAACCGUCAUCCAUGUCAGGUAUGUCUCUUGAAGAAAUAGUUGAAUUAAUAGCGACUAACACAUAUCAAAUUCAACAGGAGACACAUCAAAUUCAACAGGAGACACAUCAAAUUCAACGGGAGACACGUCAAUUUCAACAGGAGACACAAAGAUUGAUUAAAGAGAUGGAAGAUGGAAGGCGUGAAUUGGCAUCUACAAUGAGCAAAUUGAUUUCUCCAUUUUGUGAAGAAUUGCCCUCAGCGACUAUUAUCGACCAUGAAGAAGAUGAGGGUAUAAUUAUCCUGACAAAUGACAUGGAACUGCAAGAGUCUCAUGAACAAGGAUCUAAAGAUGCAGUUGAAAAGAAAGUUGAAGUGCAAGACAUGAGACCCCAAUAUCAAAUUGUUCAAAUGAAUGAAUCUAAUGAACAAUCUCCAAAUGCGGUGACAUCUCUUCCAUUCCUUAAUCAAUAUUUUCCUGACUCUUAUUCUUUAAUUCCUGUUAGUGAGAUUGAUUUUAUUAUACCGGACGAUUUUGAAUUUCAUGCCAGGAAUAAGUUAAGAGUCAUGAUGACAAAAUAUCUCGAAGCAAUAAGCGCUCGUGAUGGAGGAGUGACUGAAGAUUUAAGGUCAUCACUUGUUUGUUUGGUGCCAUCUACUAAUCCAUGGAAGACCGUAGCUCGUGGACUCAAGAAUUACUCUAUUUACGAGGGCUAUCAGGACUACAUAGAAGAUGAAGCACUGAAACGAGCUACACGAUUUUAUCCUCCGUGAAUAAACAGGACAAUGUCUAGCCAAAGACAUUAAAGAAAGGCUCUGCUUGGGAGGCAACCCAAGGAAUUUUUUGUUUUAGUUUUCUUAUAUUUUUGAAAUUUUUAUUAAGUGUUAGUGUCAUUUAGUGGAUUGUUGUUUUGUGGCAGGAAGCUGGCAGUUGGACAUGCCCACUCUAGUUGAUCAUGCCUAAGGAAUGAAGCUUUGGAAUUGAUGGUCAGAAGACUCUAGCUUCCAAGGCGUGCCCACGCCUUCCAACCCUUCCGAAAAAGAAACUUCAGUCUUCUCCUUCCUGUUGGUGUUGCGUCCGCCGCAACCACACCACCUUGUGCACGCAGCCGUCUCACCCCCCUCCGCCUUAGUAUCUCAUUUUCACUCCCCGGUGGUCAGGGAAGUUUCUCCUCUUUCCUCCUGAUACUUUAUUUGUCUCUUCUACAUUGAGGACAAUGUAGGUCUUAGGUGUGGGGGGAGUGGAUUCCAUUGGUUCUUUUUCAUUAGUUACUCGAAAAAAAGAGAAAAAAAAAACAUGGGUUGAAAAAAAAAAUAAAAAAUGAAAAACAUUGUAGUUAGUCGGCUUUUUGGUUAUUUCUAUGCUUGUUAGUGUUGGGGCAUGUUGCUGUGAUGAAUGACACAAUCAAAGUGAGUGGUUAUGUGGUCGGAUAUGCUAGCUGUGCAUCUUGCUUCCCUUGGCAAUGUCAUUGAAUGUUGAAUAUGUUGGAAUUGACCCAUUUUUGAAACUUUUGGGAGUUUUUGAGCCUUAUAUGAGCACAUUAUUCUUAUUUGCUCUAUUUUUGUUUGAUUGAGUGGGUAUCACACAUGGUAUCGGCAUUCUAGAACUUGCUAUUUUAUACAUGUCGAGACCACAUUUUGUUGAACUGGAUGCAUUUGAAAUGAUAAGGGCAUUUAGGAUUUGACCUUCUUUAACUUUCUAUAAACCAUGCCUUCAUCUUAUUUCCCAAUAGUGAACCAACUUGAGCUUUUAUCCUUUACUUUUGCUUGUUAGCCGUGUUUGAUAACCCAUGACCUUUUUAGACUUUCUUGUUCAAUCUUGUGUCAUUAAGGGAUGUCUGAAAUUCAUUACUUGUGCAAGGCAAAUAAAUCUAUGGGCGCAAGUGUUGUCAAAAAGAUGUUGUAUGGUGCUGUUUCUGUACAUCUGAGAUCGAAAGAAAAGCCAAGAAAAAAAAUAAAGAAAAAAAGGGGAAAAAUUGGCAAAAAGCUGGUGAGCAGAAGACUCUGUCUUCCAGGACGUGCCCACGCCUUGCUAGACGUCCUCUCCAAAAAAAAAAAAAUGAGGAACGAUUUUCGACACUUGCACAAUGAAAACAACAAAUGAAAACGCCCUACUUGCGAAAUUGCCCCGGUAAAGCAUUGUGGUUAUGUAGUGGAUAUUGGACAUUCUCUUGACACAUUACACCCUAUUUUUACCUUCUUAUCCCGCCUUUUAUCUAAACCCCAUUGCAACCCUAUUAAAGUCCCUUUGAUUUGUGUAUUUAGUUCACUUUUGAGUGGUGGAGAUGUGAUAAAUGUGCAAGCCUAUGGUAAUGCAUUCCGUGAUGUUGAAUUGAGCGUUCCUAGUAUUCAUAUAUAUUCUUUGAAUUACAACAUGUCCGGUGUGUUCCACCUUUGGUGAUAUUGUCAGGGACCCUAGAUGCUUGUGUUAGUUUAGACUACUACAUGACCUCUGCUCUCUUGGUUGUACUUCUGAGCUCCGAAAUGCUUGAGGGCAAGCAUUGUCUAGGUGUGGGGGGAUUUGAUAGAACGGUUAUUUGGCGUAUUUUGCACUGUUAUUUUGUCCUAAUUUUGGCUAUUCACGGUGCUAAGAAUUGGAAUUUCACUCAUAUUCGAUAUUUGUGUGAAUUGUAGGUGGUAGGCAUGGAAAAUGAUCUCGCGAGAUAAAUUUCCAGAAGACUUUUCGUCUCAGGGCGUGGCCACGCCUUAGAAGGUGGACGAAACCGAAAGACGGACCAUGGUCCACGUGAACCGCGAGAAGCACAGGAUUAAGACUCCAAAGGCUUCAAUUAAAAAGCAAAGAAAGGGGUCAGACGUGAAAAGGCUCCUGCGGCGGCUUUAUAAAGAAAAGGAAAGCAAGAUUCAAGAUAACUACUUUUAGCCUAGGUUCUCUUUUUCGACUUUUUGGGGGCAAGAUUUGUCAGACGCUGUUGUUUUUCUUUUGUUUUCUUCGGCGGCUCUGGGUCAGACAUUGGGGGACUUCCUCCUUUGCUGUAGCUUUUGCUCCGGGCUUCUGUACAAUUUUUCCUAUUCGACUUUUGCUUCUACUUUCGCUCCAGGGGUACGAACACGAAACCCAACAAAGGGAAGCAAAGGUUUUUCAGCCGUUCCUUCGUUAAUUCAUCUUUUCCAAUUCUUCGGCAAUUAAUUGAAUGAAUUCAAUUAAAUCACGCGGGAUUGACACGAUGAGGAGCGGCUAAUUUUCUCCUCUACCCAAAGGUUGACGCGAGGGCGCGGUCCAUAAUAUCUGUGAGAUCUAAUCGAAUCUUCAUUAUUUCUUCCAAUUUAUUGCUAUUCGUGCGUUUCCUGAAUUAAUUGAUCAUGGGUAUUUUAUUAAUUGAAUAUCAACGGCCGGGUAUUUGAUUUAAUUUAAUAGUCUACUGCCACGUUAAUUAAAUAGAAUCCGUAAUUGUUCAUUUAGUUAACACCUCGUGGCAACCACCAUAAUUGGUUUUAUGAUGGGGAAACGCAAGAUCUAGCUUAAAUAAACCCUCUUAGCGUGUUUAUUGGUUAGGGUUGGGUUCUUCUAGGUUUAAUGCAAUUGGGUAAUUAAAUUCCUACGGUCGUACCUAGGGUUGUUAUCUGGUUAGGGAAGCAGUCAAUGGUCGUACCUUAACUGUCGAAAAGGUAAGGAAGAAUUGGUUGUCAGAGCUUAUUGAUAACUAUAACCAAUCUAGUGAUGAAUGGAUGAAAUAUCUUUGCAUCGAUGAGCAUUUAUUCGGACCGUGCCUGAACAGUUGAUCCUUUGGGUAGAACUUUUAUUAAUUGCUAUUUUUAGUAAAUUGUGCUUUGUGAGUUAGUUUUGAAUUUUGUUUUUUUUAUUUUUAUUUUUAUUUUCCUCCCAUCAAAAACCCCCCAUACUCUGAACUCUAGAAGAAACGAAUUAUUCCCAGUCCCUGUGGAUUCGACCCUACUCACCGCUAUAUACAAAAUUUAUAAUUUUCUUGAGUAGGUAUUUAUUAUUGUACAGGCUCGACACCUGUCAAUUUUUGGCGCCGUUGCCGGGGACUGGUGCCUGAUUAAUUUGUUUUUUUUUGAGUUCAUUUUUUUUUCUCUUAUUUUUUUUUGUAUAUAUUUUAUGGCUGCUAACAUUCCGUAUUUUGGUGAUAGACUGGAUUUUAAUUUUACAAGGGGUUAUGAGACUCAUGCUUUUUCUAAUGAUCAAUGGGCUGUUGCAAAUUGUGGAGCUUAUUUUGCUUCGAAUUUUUCACCCGACAUAUGCCCUGCAUUUCAAGAUGGUCGAAGUACUCCAAUCGAUACUUUUGGGGAUUUUUCACCUCAAUAUCAAACGUGGUAUGACCCUUAUUCAAACGGGUAUGAGCAAGGAUGGUGGGAUGAUUCUACUUUUAAUUAUGAACAAAGGCCAAUAGAUUUUCAACAGCUAGAGCCUCAAGAACCGUCAUCCAUGUCAGGUAUGUCUCUUGAAAAAAUAGUUGAAUUAAUAGCGACUAACACAUAUCAAAUUCAACAGGAGACACAUCAAAUUCAACAGGAGACACAUCAAAUUCAACGGGAGACACGUCAAUUUCAACAGGAGACACAAAGAUUGAUUAAAGAGAUGGAAGAUGGAAGGCGUGAAUUGGCAUCUACAAUGAGCAAAUUGAUUUCUCCAUUUUGUGAAGAAUUGCCCUCAGCGACUAUUAUCGACCAUGAAGAAGAUGAGGGUAUAAUUAUCCUGACAAAUGACAUGGAACUGCAAGAGUCUCAUGAACAAGGAUCUAAAGAUGCAGUUGAAAAGAAAGUUGAAGUGCAAGACAUGAGACCCCAAUAUCAAAUUGUUCAAAUGAAUGAAUCUAAUGAACAAUCUCCAAAUGCGGUGACAUCUCUUCCAUUCCUUAAUCAAUAUUUUCCUGACUCUUAUUCUUUAAUUCCUGUUAGUGAGAUUGAUUUUAUUAUACCGGACGAUUUUGAAUUUCAUGCCAGGAAUAAGUUAAGAGUCAUGAUGACAAAAUAUCUCGAAGCAAUAAGCGCUCGUGAUGGAGGAGUGACUGAAGAUUUAAGGUCAUCACUUGUUUGUUUGGUGCCAUCUACUAAUCCAUGGAAGACCGUAGCUCGUGGACUCAAGAAUUACUCUAUUUACGAGGGCUAUCAGGACUACAUAGAAGAUGAAGCACUGAAACGAGCUACACGAUUUUAUCCUCCGUGAAUAAACAGGACAAUGUCUAGCCAAAGACAUUAAAGAAAGGCUCUGCUUGGGAGGCAACCCAAGGAAUUUUUUGUUUUAGUUUUCUUAUAUUUUUGAAAUUUUUAUUAAGUGUUAGUGUCAUUUAGUGGAUUGUUGUUUUGUGGCAGGAAGCUGGCAGUUGGACAUGCCCACUCUAGUUGAUCAUGCCUAAGGAAUGAAGCUUUGGAAUUGAUGGUCAGAAGACUCUAGCUUCCAAGGCGUGCCCACGCCUUCCAACCCUUCCGAAAAAGAAACUUCAGUCUUCUCCUUCCUGUUGGUGUUGCGUCCGCCGCAACCACACCACCUAUUCUAAAACAAAGACUACUUGUCUAGUGGUCCCCGCCGAAUUUAGAGAAAAGGGUGCAAUCCGUCAGAUCAAGCUCUCUACCGAAUUUUUCUCCUUUUGUUUCCUAUUGCUAAUCAAAGACUCCCAUCAGCACAAAGAAAAGGAAAUCGUUUUCUUCUUCUCCUUGUGGGCCAGCAACCGAAAAAGGCUUCCUUGUAGCACCAUAUGGGGCCCAACUGUUUGAAAUCUCAAUUGUAUAGUGGAAAGUCCCUCAUUUUUUGUAGUUUUCUGCUCCAUUCUCUGAAAUUAAGUCCAGAUACCAUAUAUAACCAAAUAUAAGUAGAUAUUAACAAUUAAAACAAUAUUUGACAGGGACAAAGGGGAAAUUAAUAAUAAAAUAACCAACAAUUAAUACCCUAUCAAUUCCCCCCACACCUAAAUCAUGCUUGCCCUCAAGCAUGAGAACAGCAAUUGAAUAUCAAAAUUUGACAAUGGCUAUUGCUCCAACUACCGUAUUGCCAAGAUACCCAGAAAAACAUAUAUCAAGCAUCACAGGUCAAGAUCAAAGAAAAUCACCCCGGUUAGCUUCCCAACCACCAACUUCUCCAAUUUAAAACAAACUAAUCUAAGAAAAAGGAAUGGUUGCUCAUAUUUAUCAGCAAAUGGUCCAACUAUUAACCAAAAUCUCAACAUUAAACCCAUAAAAUGGCAAGCUGACUUUUAUCACAUUUUCUAUUUUUUUUUCUUUUCAAUAGCAACUAAUGACUUAAUCUCUAGCCAUUGGAACCUUUUGACUCGAACUCCAACAUUUGUCAAAUGAAGGAGCCCGGUUACUCAGCUCCAAUCGCUACGGGACCACGCACUCAUAGUAGCUACUACCUUUUGACGCGAGAAUCGACACUUUAGGUGAAGAUCCCCGGUUACUCAGUAGUAACAACUAGUGGAGUAUAGUCACCUCUUAUUUACAAUCAUAUAGCACAAUAACUAAAAAAAAUAACACAAAAAUAACAGCAGCCAACCUAAAAUUUCUAACCAUGGAGAACUAAAAUUAAUAACUGGACCAAUUCACAUGAAAAAUGCCAACAAUCAUUCCCUAUGCCUAGAAAAGUUAACCAAAAAUUCGAAAAGUUAAGCAAUUAUUGAUAUUCACCAAAGAGAUGUUCCUGAACUCAACCACAUUAACUUGAUACCUUUUUAUCACUAAAACUUGGCAAUAUCAGAAUUAGAGACAACAAUCCAGCAUCAAACUUGGUAUCAUAUGAAGACCGACCACUAGAAAAAAAAAGAAAAGAAAAUAAACGAAAAAGGAGAUAAAUAUCAAACUAAAACAAAGGAAAAACCCCUAGAACCUAAAAACUAAAAAUACUAGCACCCAAACUGAUCUCCCCCCUACACCUAAAUGACACAUUGCCCUCAAUAUGAUAAUGUAAAAGCAGAAGGAAGGAGAGGGCGACGGUACUUCACUGGAGUCAUCAAAAUAGGGGCAGUUCAGGUGGAAAUUGUGGAUCAACUCGCAUCUGGAGCUAGUGCCAUUCGUGGCUUCACCAUGGACUCUAGACAUCACUUUAAGCAACAAGAGACUACAAUUGCCAACAAAUAAUGGAAGCCGGAAAUUCAAAGCAAUAACAAUUUCAAAGCCAACCCAACGAAUAAAAUGCACAAUUCAACCACCCAGAGGACAUACAAAUACUCCAACACUUAUAGCAAUGGCAAUCAAUAAGCACUUGCGGUCCCAAUGUUGUCAAUUUCAGAAUCAAUGCAGUCCAAAAGUGCAACAAAUGCUCCAAAGAUGUAGGACUUGAAUUUAAGAGACAGAGUACCCCAACCAAGUCAAUUAGGCACAAUCGAUCAGCAAUAAGUAAAGGAAGGGGCACAGUAGCCUUCCAAUUCAACAAACAGACGCAGAAAGUACCCCACAAUACCAGAGGACAGCUCCCAACAAUGCACCAAAACAACAAGUCUAACGAAAUGAGAGUGGUGCCACUAGCUAAUCUAAAGAACAAAUUUCAGCACCGGGACACAAUGCCACCCAAAAUCUCAACAACUGUCUCCAAUUGGACAGGCAAAUACCCAAUUAAACCUACCAAAAGUAGCAAAUGACCCAAGAAACCGACAAAACCAACAAAAGUAGUUCAAAAGUUGGAUAGAAACAACUCAAUCACAAAUGCUCAGCAGUCACAACUCGAUCAAUUAGGCAACCAAUAACCCAGGAUUGACAAAUGUUAAAACAACUUCCAUCGCCAGUGCCACUGGUGAAUGCACAGGGAAAAACUAAAUCAAAUAGCCAACUCAAAUUUGAUCCUCACAGAUGAAAAUAGAGGCCUCAAGUAGGCAAAACCAAAUCAAUGCUCAACAAUGGAAUCAAUACUAGAGAAUACCCCCAAAUGGAGCAGCAAAUAAACUUAGUUCCACCAAAAUUAACCCAAGAAAAUGCCUAAAUCACCCCCUGCUUUCAGCUAUCAAGAAACCCAUGAAACAAAAGCUCAAAUUCCAGCAAUAGAAGAACCAGACAAAUACUAAUCGAGGUGGAAGAGUCAAUACCUCCACCUGUCAAAUUGGACAGGUGGGAAUGGCGUGACAGUGGGUGGCGUGAGCAGCGGGGCAGCGGCGGCCGGCGAGCUAGGUACGGCUGGGCAGAGCUAUCGGCGAGCUUUGGAGCUGCUGGUGCGUGUGGUGGUGAGCUGGUGAGUGGAGACAGCGGCGAAGAGGGUGGCGGCGGGUUGAGGCAGAGGGGUGCAAGCUGGUGGUGGAGAGAGGAGGCCACGGCGCGCUUGAGAGCUGGCGGUGCUCGCGUGGUGGUGGACCGUGAGGCUGAGAGAGAAACGACCAGGAGAGAGGGAGAAAGCGAGAAGGGGACGGCGUGGGCUGCUGGUGGAGCGGAGGUGGAGCUGGUGAGCGCGAGGUUGGCGGGCAAGAGGUAGCCGUGACGUGCGAGGUAGAGGAGAGAGGCAGCGGCGUGAAAGAAAAAGAAGAAAAAAAGGGAAACAGGGGAGCGGCGGAGAAGAAGAAGAAAAGGAAAGGAAAGAAAGAAAAGAAAGGAAGAAAGAAAAAAAAUAGUUUUUGGGUUUUUUGUUUUCAAUGAUUUUUCCAAAUUUUUUUCCGAAUUUAAUUUUUCAAAAUUUGAAUUUUUGAAGAAAAAGAAAAGAAAAAAAUGUUUUUUUUUAAAAAUUUUUGAAUUUUUUUUCAAUGUGAAUUUAAAAAAAAAAUUUUUGAAUUCAUUUUUGGGUCGUCAAACACCGUGUGGGCACGCCAAGAUUAUAAAACGUCCACUGAUCUCAGGAGACACAAACACCGCGUGGGCACGCCAAGAUUGGUAAACGUCCACUGAUCUCAGGAGUCACAAACACCGCAUGAGCUGGCCAAGAUUGCACUUCCUGGUCACAGUGAAGAAAAAUAUCAAGAUCGACUACUACCCAAAUGAGAAACAACAAAACGAAAGAAUUGAACAACGAAAAACAAUAAAAUCAAUAUUUGGGUUGCCUCCCAAAAAGCGCCUUUCUUUUAUGUUUUUGGCUAGACAUUGUCAUAUUUGUUCAGGGAAGAUAAAAUCUUGUAACUCGUUUUAAUGUUUCAUCCUCUAUAUGGUCCUGAUAGCCCUCGUAAAUAGAGUAAUUAUUGGGCACACGAGUUACGGGGUUCCAUGGACUAGUAAAUGGCGCCAAACAAGUCAACGAUAAUUUGCAUUCUCCACUCACUCCUCCAUCACACGUCUUUAUCGGUUCAAGAUAUUUUAUCAUCUCCACUCUUAACUUAUUCCUGUCAUGAAAUUUUAAAUUUUCUGGUAUAAUAAAAUCAAUUACAAUAACAGGAGUUGAAGAAUAGGAGUCAGAAAAAUAUUGAUUAAGGAAUGGAGAAGAUGUCACCGUAUUUGGAGAUUGUACACUGGAUUCAUUCACUUGGACGGAUUGAUAUUGGGGUCUCAUUUCUUGCACUUCACUUUCCUUUUCAACUACAUCUUUAGAUCCGUUUCCUUGAAACUCUUGCAGUUCCAUGUCAUUCGGCCAGAUAAUUGCACUCCCAUCUUCUUCAAGGUUGAUAUUGGGUUGUGAGGGCAAUUCUUCAAGGUGAGAAGCUAAUCGCUCUAUCCUGGAUGUCAAUUGAUGCACUUGAUCCGCCAGGUUUUUAAGGCUCGCUUGUGUCUCCUGAUGAAAUCGAUAUGUAUUAGUAGCAAAUAAUUCAAUCAAUUCCUGAAGAGACAUACCUGACAUGGAUGAUGGUUGAUGAGACUCUUGCUGUUGAAAACUCAUUGGUCCAGUCGCAUAAUUAAAAUUGGAAUUAUCCCACAAUCCUUGAUCAUACCUGUUUGGGUAAGGGUCAUACCACGUUUGAAAUCGAGGUGAAAAAUCUCCAAAAGUAUCAAUUGGAGCACUUAGAUGAUCUUGAAAUGCGGGACAUGUGUCGGUUGAAUAACCUAAGCCAAAAUAAGUUCCACCAUUUGCAACAGCCCAUUGAUCAUUAGGAAAAUCAUAAGUCUCAUAACCCCAUUCAGGAAUAAAGUCCAGUCUAUCAUCAAAAUAUGGAAUAUUAGCAGCCAUAAACUAUAAAAAAAAAUAGAAAAAUAAAACAAAAAGAAUAUGAAAACAAGAUGAACUAAAAAAGAAACAAAUUAAUCUGGCACCAGUCCCCGCCAACAGCGCCAAAAAUUGACAGGUUGUCGGCCUGUGCAAUAAUAAUUAUCUACUCGAGAAAAAUACAGAUUUUGUAUAUAGCGGUGAGUAGGGUCGAAUCCACAGGGAUUGAGGAUAACUUAUUUCUUUUAGAGUCCGAAGUAUUGGGGGUUUUUUUGAGAAUAGAAAAUAACUAAUUAACUAACUAAUAAAACAACUACUAGAAAUAAAUAGAAAUUAAUCAAUAACCAAUACGACUCUAGCCAAAGAUACAACUUUUCAGACAUGGUCCAUUCAACUGAUCAUCGAUGCAAAGAUAAUUCAAUUACUCAUUACUAGAUUGGUUAUAGUUGUCAUACACGCGAUGAACAGCCAGCCUUUUCUUAAUUUCUCGAUAGCUAAGGUACGACCGUUAACUAUUUCUCUAACCAAGAAAUAACCCUAAGUACAACCGUAGGAUUUAAUUAUUCGAUUGCAUUAAAAAUUAGAAAAACCCAACCCUAACUAACAAACACGCUACGAGGGUUUGUUUAAAUUAGAUCAUACGUUUUUCUAACAUAAAACCAAUCACGCUAGUCGCCACUGGUGUUAAUCAAUUGAACAAUUACAGAUUCAAUCAAUUAAUUUGGCAUUAGAUCAUUAAAUUAAUUCGAAUAUCGGGCCCUUGACAUUUAAAUAACAUAACAAGCAUAAGCAAUUAAAUCAGGAAACGCACAAAUACCAAUAAAUAAAAGAAAUAGGUAAAAUAAUUAGAUCUCACAGAUAUUCAGAACCAAAUCCUCAAAUUGACCUUCGACUAGAAAAAAUGAAUUAGUUCAUCUUCAUGGAGAAAUCCCAUGCAAAAGUGCAGAAGUAAUCCUCUAAAAAAAAGCUAUGUUUCCCUCCUCCUCUUUCAUAGAAGAAAACGGCAAAGCUAUAUAUAUUUCUGAAUACGAAGGAACUAGCAAGGACAAAAACAAAACGAAGUUCUCCUAUUCUAAAACAAAGACUACUUGUCUAGUGGUCCCCGCCAAAUUUAGAGAAAAUAGUGCAAUCCGUCAGAUCAAGCUCUCUAUCGAAUUUUUCUCCUUUUGUUUCCUAUUGCUAAUCAAAGACUCCCAUCAGCACAAAGAAAAGGAAAUCGUUUUCUUCUUCUCCUUGUGGGCCAGCAACUGAAAAAGGCUUCCUUGUAGCACCAUAUGGGGCCCAACUGUUUGAAGUCUCAAUUGUAUAGUGGAAAGUCCCCAUUUUUUUGUAGUUUUCUGCUCCAUUCCCUGAAAUUAAGUCCAGAUACCAUAUAUAACCAAAUAUAAGUAGAUAUUAACAAUUAAAACAAUAUUUGACAGGGACAAAGGGGAAAUUAAUAAUAAAAUAACCAACAAUUAACACCCUAUCAGGGCAAUUCUUCAAGGUGAGACGCUAAUCGCUCUAUCCUGGAUGUCAAUAGUUGCAUUUGAUCUGCCAGGUCACGCAUGCUCGCUUGUGUCUCCUGAUGAAAUCGAUAUGUAUUAGUAGCAAAUAAUUCAAUCAAUUCCUGAAGAGACAUACCUGACAUGAAUGAUGGUUGUUGAGACUCUUGCUAUUGAAAACCCAUUGGCCCGGUCGCAUAAUUAAAACUGGAAUCAUCCCACCAUCCUUGAUCAUACCUGUUUGGGUAAGGGUCAUACCACGUUUGAAAUCCAGGUGAAAAAUCUCCAAAAGUAUCAAUUGGAGCACUUAGAUUAUCUUGAAAUGCGGGGCAUGUGUCGGUUGAAUAACUUGAGGGAAAAUAAGUUCCACAAUUUGCAACGGCCCAUUGAUCAUUAGGAAAAACGCGAGUCUCAUAACCUCAUUCAGGAAUAAAGUCCAGUCUAUCAUCAAAAUACGGAAUAUUAGCAGCCAUAAACUAUAAAAAAAAACAGAAAAAUAAAAUAAAAAAAUAUAUGAAAACAAGAUGAACUCAAAAAGAAACAAAUUAAUCUGGCACCAGUCCCUGGCAACGGCGCCAAAAAUUGACAGGUUAUCAGCCUGUGCAAUAAUAAAACCUGUUCAAACUAAAAGUAAUUUCUGUAGAUAGCGGUAAGUAGGGUCGAAUCCACAGGGACUGGGAGUAAUUGUUCCUUUUCAAAUUCACAGUGACAAGGGGGUGCUUUUAUAUCAGGGGUAACAAUUUAAACAAUUCAACUAAAAGUAAAAUAAUAAAAAUAAAAUAGUCAAUUAGAAAUUAAAUAACAAAUUAUUAAAAUCAAAUGAGCGAUAAUUAAGGAUCUAGCCAAGGAAUAACUUCAGCAAUGGUUCACCUAAUUGAUCAUUGAAACAAAGGCAAUUCCAAUUAUUCACUAAUAAAUAGGUUAUAACUGUCAAACAAGCGAUGACAGUCAACCCCUCCUUAUUGUGUCGGUGACUAAGGUACGCUCGUUAAUCACUAUUCUAAUUGAAAAAUAAUCUUAGGUACGUCCGUAAGAUUUAAUUCCCCAAUUGCCUUAUGUAUUAGAGGAGCCCUAUUCUAAUCAAAUAACACACUACCAGGAUUAUUUUAAGUUAGCCCGCGUAUUCCCCUGACACAAAUCCAAUCAUGCCAGUUAUCACUAUUUUGAGACAAUUAAAUAAUUACGGAUUUAACGUCCUAAUUGACAAUAGAUUAUCAAAUUAACUAAUUAUCCGGAUCCAAGACAAUCAAUUAAUUAAACAAUCAUAAGCACUAUAACCAGGAAAUAUGCGAAUACCAAUAAAUAAAAAAAGGAUAAAAUUAAAUCGAUCUCAUAAUUUUUAGGCGAAUCAAAAUCUCCGUUGCUCAUUGACUAGACAAAGGAAAUUAGUUCAUUCUUGCUGAACAAAGCCCACGUAAAAUUGAAACAAGAGUUGUCUGCUCAUGCGAAAGAAGAAAAACAAUCAAAAGCUACAAAAGGAAAAGUCAAAGGCUGAUGCUUCAUUCCUCAAGCGCAGGGGGCAACCAUAAAAGACGAAAGAGAAAAGUCAAAGAAAGCUAAAGGGAGUUUAUUGUUUUUCCUCCUCAUCCCCAACGAGAGAACUCCUCCUAAAAAGCUAAGAAAGGAAAAAUCAAAGCUACUCUAAUGCUUGGCUCCUGUGCGGCGGCCCUUAGGGAAAAGAAAAAUUCAGCCGUCCUCUCCUCUUCAGUAAUUACCAAAAUGGGCCAAAGUUUUCCUUUGCCAACAAUGCCCCUGGAGUAAGCUUUGCGACUUGGACUCCUUUUCCUGUCAAAUUGGCACUUGUUUUCAUAUUUUUGUUUUAUUUCUUGAAAUAAAUGUAAAAUACUAAAAAUAAGUAGAAUCCAAUGAUAGAACGGUUAUUUGGCAUAUUUUGCACUGUUAUUUUGUCCUAAUUUUGGCUAUUCACGGUGCUAAGAAUUGGAAUUUCACUCAUAUUCGAUAUUUGUGUGAAUUGUAGGUGGUGGGCAUGGAAAAUGAUCUCGCGAGGUAAAUUUCCAGAAGACUUUUCGUCUCAGGGCGUGGCCACGCCUUAGAAGGUGGACGAAAUCGAAAGACGGACCAUGGUCCACGUGAACCGCGAGAAGCACAGGAUUAAAACUCCAAAGGCUUCAAUUAAAAAGCAAAGAAAGGGGUCAGACGUGAAAAGGCUCCUGCGGCGGCUAUAUAAAGAAAAGGAAAGCAAGAUUCAAGAUAACUACUUUUAGCCUAGGUUCUCUUUUUCGACUUUUUGGGGGCAAGAUUUGUCAGACGCUGUUGUUUUUCUUUUGUUUUCUUCGGCGGCUCUGGGUCAGACAUUGGGGGACUUCCUCCUUUGCUGUAGCUUUUGCUCCGGGCUUCUGUACAAUUUUUCCUAUUCGACUUUUGCUUCUACUUUCGCUCCAGGGGUACGAACACGAAACCCAACAAAGGGAAGCAAAGGUUUUUCAGCCGUUCCUUCGUUAAUUCAUCUUUUCCAAUUCUUCGGCAAUUAAUUGAAUGAAUUCAAUUAAAUCACGCGGGAUUGACACGAUGAGGAGCGGCUAAUUUUCUCCUCUACCCAAAGGUUGACGCGAGGGCGCGGUCCAUAAUAUCUAUGAGAUCUAAUCGAAUCUUCAUUAUUUCUUCCAAUUUAUUGCUAUUCGUGCGUUUCCUGAAUUAAUUGAUCAUGGGUAUUUUAUUAAUUGAAUAUCAACGGCCGGGUAUUUGAUUUAAUUUAAUAGUCUACUGCCACGUUAAUUAAAUAGAAUCCGUAAUUGUUCAUUUAGUUAACACCUCGUGGCAACCACCAUAAUUGGUUUUAUGAUGGGGAAACGCAAGAUCUAGCUUAAAUAAACCCUCUUAGCGUGUUUAUUGGUUAGGGUUGGGUUCUUCUAGGUUUAAUGCAAUUGAGUAAUUAAAUUCCUACGGUCGUACCUAGGGUUGUUAUCUGGUUAGGGAAGCAGUCAAUGGUCGUACCUUGACUGUCGAAAAGGUAAGGAAGAAUUGGUUGUCAGAGCUUAUUGAUAACUAUAACCAAUCUAGUGAUGAAUGGAUGAAAUAUCUUUGCAUCGAUGAGCAUUUAUUCGGACCGUGCCUGAACAGUUGAUCCUUUGGGUAGAACUUUUAUUAAUUGCUAUUUUUAGUAAAUUGUGCUUUGUGAGUUAGUUUUGAGUUUUGUUUCUUUUAUUUUUAUUUUUAUUUUCCUCCCAUAAAAAACCCCCCAUACUCUGAACUCUAGAAGAAACGAAUUAUUCCCAAUCCCUGUGGAUUCGACCCUACUCACCGCUAUAUACAAAAUUUGUAAUUUUCUCGAGUAGGUAUUUAUUAUUGUACAGGUUCGACACCUGUCAAUUUUUGGCGCCGUUGCCGGGGACUGGUGCCUGAUUAAUUUGUUUUUUUUUGAGUUCAUUUUUUUUUCUCUUAUUUUUUUUUUGUAUAUAUUUUAUGGCUGCUAACAUUCCGUAUUUUGGUGAUAGAGUGGAUUUUAAUUUUACAAGGGGUUAUGAGACUCAUGCUUUUUCUAAUGAUCAAUGGGCUGUUGCAAAUUGUGGAGCUUAUUUUGCUUCGAAUUUUUCACCCGACAUAUGCCCUGCAUUUCAAGAUGGUCGAAGUACUCCAAUCGAUACUUUUGGGGAUUUUUCACCUCAAUAUCAAACGUGGUACGACCCUUAUUCAAACGGGUAUGAGCAAGGAUGGUGGGAUGAUUCUACUUUUAAUUAUGAACAAAGGCCAAUAGAUUUUCAACAGCUAGAGCCUCAAGAACCGUCAUCCAUGUCAGGUAUGUCUCUUGAAGAAAUAGUUGAAUUAAUAGCGACUAACACAUAUCAAAUUCAACAGGAGACACAUCAAAUUCAACAGGAGACACAUCAAAUUCAACGGGAGACACGUCAAUUUCAACAGGAGACACAAAGAUUGAUUAAAGAGAUGGAAGAUGGAAGGCGUGAAUUGGCAUCUACAAUGAGCAAAUUGAUUUCUCCAUUUUGUGAAGAAUUGCCCUCAGCGACUAUUAUCGACCAUGAAGAAGAUGAGGGUAUAAUUAUCCUGACAAAUGACAUGGAACUGCAAGAGUCUCAUGAAGAAGGAUCUAAAGAUGCAGUUGAAAAGAAAGUUGAAGUGCAAGACAUGAGACCCCAAUAUCAAAUUGUUCAAAUGAAUGAAUCUAAUGAACAAUCUCCAAAUGCGGUGACAUCUCUUCCAUUCCUUAAUCAAUAUUUUCCUGACUCUUAUUCUUUAAUUCCUGUUAGUGAGAUUGAUUUUAUUAUACCGGACGAUUUUGAAUUUCAUGCCAGGAAUAAGUUAAGAGUCAUGAUGACAAAAUAUCUCGAAGCAAUAAGCGCUCGUGAUGGAGGAGUGACUGAAGAUUUAAGGUCAUCACUUGUUUGUUUGGUGCCAUCUACUAAUCCAUGGAAGACCGUAGCUCGUGGACUCAAGAAUUACUCUAUUUACGAGGGCUAUCAGGACUACAUAGAAGAUGAAGCACUGAAACGAGCUACACGAUUUUAUCCUCCGUGAAUAAACAGGACAAUGUCUAGCCAAAGACAUUAAAGAAAGGCUCUGCUUGGGAGGCAACCCAAGGAAUUUUUUGUUUUAGUUUUCUUAUAUUUUUGAAAUUUUUAUUAAGUGUUAGUGUCAUUUAGUGGAUUGUUGUUUUGUGGCAGGAAGCUGGCAGUUGGACAUGCCCACUCUAGUUGAUCAUGCCUAAGGAAUGAAGCUUUGGAAUUGAUGGUCAGAAGACUUUAGCUUCCAAGGCGUGCCCACGCCUUCCAACCCUUCCGAAAAAGAAACUUCAGUCUUCUCCUUCCUGUUGGUGUUGCGUCCGCCGCAACCACACCACCUUGUGCACGCAGCCGUCUCACCCCCCUCCGCCUUAGUAUCUCAUUUUCACUCCCCGGUGGUCAGGGAAGUUUCUCCUCUUUCCUCCUGAUACUUUAUUUGUCUCUUCUACAUUGAGGACAAUGUAGGUCUUAGGUGUGGGGGGAGUGGAUUCCAUUGGUUCUUUUUCAUUAGUUACUCGAAAAAAAGAGAAAAAAAAAACAUGGGUUGAAAAAAAAAAUAAAAAAUGAAAAACAUUGUAGUUAGUCGGCUUUUUGGUUAUUUCUAUGCUUGUUAGUGUUGGGGCAUGUUGCUGUGAUGAAUGACACAAUCAAAGUGAGUGGUUAUGUGGUCGGAUAUGCUAGCUGUGCAUCUUGCUUCCCUUGGCAAUGUCAUUGAAUGUUGAAUAUGUUGGAAUUGACCCAUUUUUGAAACUUUUGGGAGUUUUUGAGCCUUAUAUGAGCACAUUAUUCUUAUUUGCUCUAUUUUUGUUUGAUUGAGUGGGUAUCACACAUGGUAUCGGCAUUCUAGAACUUGCUAUUUUAUACAUGUCGAGACCACAUUUUGUUGAACUGGAUGCAUUUGAAAUGAUAAGGGCAUUUAGGAUUUGACCUUCUUUAACUUUCUAUAAACCAUGCCUUCAUCUUAUUUCCCAAUAGUGAACCAACUUGAGCUUUUAUCCUUUACUUUUGCUUGUUAGCCGUGUUUGAUAACCCAUGACCUUUUUAGACUUUCUUGUUCAAUCUUGUGUCAUUAAGGGAUGUCUGAAAUUCAUUACUUGUGCAAGGCAAAUAAAUCUAUGGGCGCAAGUGUUGUCAAAAAGAUGUUGUAUGGUGCUGUUUCUGUACAUCUGAGAUCGAAAGAAAAGCCAAGAAAAAAAAUAAAGAAAAAAAGGGGAAAAAUUGGCAAAAAGCUGGUGAGCAGAAGACUCUGUCUUCCAGGACGUGCCCACGCCUUGCUAGACGUCCUCUCCAAAAAAAAAAAAAUGAGGAACGAUUUUCGACACUUGCACAAUGAAAACAACAAAUGAAAACGCCCUACUUGCGAAAUUGCCCCGGUAAAGCAUUGUGGUUAUGUAGUGGAUAUUGGACAUUCUCUUGACACAUUACACCCUAUUUUUACCUUCUUAUCCCGCCUUUUAUCUAAACCCCAUUGCAACCCUAUUAAAGUCCCUUUGAUUUGUGUAUUUAGUUCACUUUUGAGUGGUGGAGAUGUGAUAAAUGUGCAAGCCUAUGGUAAUGCAUUCCGUGAUGUUGAAUUGAGCGUUCCUAGUAUUCAUAUAUAUUCUUUGAAUUACAACAUGUCCGGUGUGUUCCACCUUUGGUGAUAUUGUCAGGGACCCUAGAUGCUUGUGUUAGUUUAGACUACUACAUGACCUCUGCUCUCUUGGUUGUACUUCUGAGCUCCGAAAUGCUUGAGGGCAAGCAUUGUCUAGGUGUGGGGGGAUUUGAUAGAACGGUUAUUUGGCGUAUUUUACACUGUUAUUUUGUCCUAAUUUUGGCUAUUCACGGUGCUAAGAAUUGGAAUUUCACUCAUAUUCGAUAUUUGUGUGAAUUGUAGGUGGUAGGCAUGGAAAAUGAUAUCGCGAGAUAAAUUUCCAGAAGACUUUUCGUCUCAGGGCGUGGCCACGCCUUAGAAGGUGGACGAAACCGAAAGACGGACCAUGGUCCACGUGAACCGCGAGAAGCACAGGAUUAAGACUCCAAAGGCUUCAAUUAAAAAGCAAAGAAAGGGGUCAGACGUGAAAAGGCUCCUGCGGCGGCUAUAUAAAGAAAAGGAAAGCAAGAUUCAAGAUAACUACUUUUAGCCUAGGUUCUCUUUUUCGACUUUUUGGGGGCAAGAUUUGUCAGACGCUGUUGUUUUUCUUUUGUUUUCUUCGGCGGCUCUGGGUCAGACAUUGGGGGACUUCCUCCUUUGCUGUAGCUUUUGCUCCGGGCUUCUGUACAAUUUUUUCUAUUCGACUUUUGCUUCUACUUUCGCUCCAGUGGUACGAACACGAAACCCAACAAAGGGAAGCAAAGGUUUUUCAGCCGUUCCUUCGUUAAUUCAUCUUUUCCAAUUCUUCGGCAAUUAAUUGAAUGAAUUCAAUUAAAUCACGCGGGAUUGACACGAUGAGGAGCGGCUAAUUUUCUCCUCUACCCAAAGGUUGACGCGAGGGCGCGGUCCAUAAUAUCUGUGAGAUCUAAUCGAAUCUUCAUUAUUUCUUCCAAUUUAUUGCUAUUCGUGCGUUUCCUGAAUUAAUUGAUCAUGGGUAUUUUAUUAAUUGAAUAUCAACGGCCGGGUAUUUGAUUUAAUUUAAUAGUCUACUGCCACGUUAAUUAAAUAGAAUCCGUAAUUGUUCAUUUAGUUAACACCUCGUGGCAACCACCAUAAUUGGUUUUAUGAUGGGGAAACGCAAGAUCUAGCUUAAAUAAACCCUCUUAGCGUGUUUAUUGGUUAGGGUUGGGUUCUUCUAGGUUUAAUGCAAUUGGGUAAUUAAAUUCCUACGGUCGUACCUAGGGUUGUUAUCUGGUUAGGGAAGCAGUCAAUGGUCGUACCUUGACUGUCGAAAAGGUAAGGAAGAAUUGGUUGUCAGAGCUUAUUGAUAACUAUAACCAAUCUAGUGAUGAAUGGAUGAAAUAUCUUUGCAUCGAUGAGCAUUUAUUCGGACCGUGCCUGAACAGUUGAUCCUUUGGGUAGAACUUUUAUUAAUUGCUAUUUUUAGUAAAUUGUGCUUUGUGAGUUAGUUUUGAAUUUUGUUUCUUUUAUUUUUAUUUUUAUUUUCCUCCCAUCAAAAACCCCCCAUACUCUGAACUCUAGAAGAAACGAAUUAUUCCCAGUCCCUGUGGAUUCGACCCUACUCACCGCUAUAUACAAAAUUUGUAAUUUUCUCGAGUAGAUAUUUAUUAUUGUACAGGUUCGACACCUGUCAUCCAACAAUUAAUCCACACCAGAUCAGGUAAUAGGGGAAAUUAAUAAUAAAUUAAAUAGUAAAAUUGCAACCUAUCAGCUAGAUUGCAGGAUUAAAACAACUUUGCCAAAAUAUUCCAAUGGUUAAAGCGCACGGAUAUUAGCACCCAAGAUGCUUCCAAGAUACUUUCAAACUUGACAAAGCACCUGAAAUUCCAGAUAUCAAGAUUAGACCUAUUUGUAGCGUACGUUUCCACGAACUCUGGCGUAAAUGGUCACCGAGAAACCAAAAUUGGUCACAAAUGCACAAUUCCAUAAGGUUAGCAAUUUCGGGAAUGGGGCAGCUACAAUUAGCAAUAGGUGCGGUUGUUUUACCUUUUUAAUGAUUUAGUGUACACUUAAAUAAUUUUGAUGUGCAUUUAUCUAACUUUUUAUUGUGCUAGUAAUAGUUCAUGUACUUUGCAUGUAAUUAUAUUAAACUAAAUAUAACAUCUCUUAUAUAUAAUCUUUUUUUUGUGAAAUUUGAUUGUUUACAUGAUAAUAGAAUAUUUUCUAUUUUCUAUUUCUUUAAUCAAUUAUUGUUACAAAGACUAUCUAAAUACGAACUCUUUGAUCCAUUGAUUUUUUUAAUUUAUUUUGAGCUUUUUGGUAAUUUAUGGAUUCAAUUUUGAUAAACAAUUCUUAAUAUGGUUAUGUUGUGUACUCACAAUAUUUUUACCAUUAAAUCACAAUAACAUUUUUUAAUAUUGUACAAAAGAUGUUGUUAAACAGGAAAUGCAUGUAUACAUGUCAAGUGUGAGCCUAGUAAAUAAAAUUCAUAAUUAUUAGCAAAGUAAAGAUUAAAACUGUAAAAUCAAUUUCUGGAAGUGUAUCAGAGUAAAUAAAUUGGCUUGUUAGAUUUUGUCAUUAUAAUUAUUUUCACCAAACUCAUCCCUUCUUUUACCUCUUGAAAAGUUCAUUUACUAGCCAGAAUCUAGAUGCGCCUUUUUUUCACUUAAAAAUAAAACCCAUAGUUAAGUUUCUAAUGAAAUCAACAAAUUUAAAAAAUGAAAAAAAAUUGUAUCAACAUUUUGAAUGCUAUUUGCCAUAACAUUUUGAAUGUUAUUUUUUCCUUGGUAAGACAAACAAAAUGGAAUUGUACAAUUAGAAUGAAUUAAUUAUUUAAGAAUAAAAUAUAUGAGCUGUGCUUAUGCCCAACUUCACAUGAACAUUUAAUUAUUCUACUUUAUAUCUUUUAGCUGAACUUUUCAAUUUUUUCUUUUGUGAAUUUGAAUUGAAUAAUGUGAGGUGCAUUAUUGAAUUUGGAUUGUUUACAUUGAGGUUAAUAAAGAAUGUAAAUGAUUUAUACUGCUUAAUUAUCGUAGACUGUCUAUUUAAUUGCCAAUGGACAUUCAAUUGAUAGAAAUAAUUUGUUCUUUUCUUUUAGUAUUUCUUCAUACUGAUAAAAAAAACCCAUAAUUAUACAUCUGUCUUGUGAUAUUCAUGUCAAGAUUCUCCAAAUGAAUAUGGACUCUUUUCUUCUUAUAUAUUUCUUUUUUGCUCCAAGAGCAUAUUUUUUUUAUACAAAUAUUUUUUACAAUCUUAAAAUUGCGGCUAAUGCAAUCAUUCACACUAUUUCGAAUAAGAAAUUAUUUUGGCUAAGAAACUUUGACACACAUAAGGAUUGGAGAUGAAGUGUAAGGGUCACUAAAUAGUUUUAAUAUGGAUUUUUUCAUUUUAAUUACCAUUAUUAUUGAGAUUUAGUUAUUUGGAAUGUUUCAUAUUUUUAAUUACUACUACAAUUAGAAUGCAAUAAUUCUAAUUGAAAGAUAGAGAUAAUAUGGGCACAAUAAAACUAAGAUCAAAAAGUGCAUGCAACUUACAAUGCCAAGACUUUUUCAUUUUAAUUACCAUUAUUAUUGAGAUUUAGUUAUUUGGAAUGUUUCAUAUUUUUAAUUACUACUACAAUUAGAAUGCAAUAAUUCUAAUUGAAAGAUAGAGAUAAUAUGGGCACAAUAAAACUAAGAUCAAAAAGUGCAUGCAACUUACAAUGCCAAGACUUUUUAAUAUAGUAAAAAAUAGAUGUUAUAAAAUACAUCAAAGUUGUGUGAACGUACAUCAAAUCAUUAAAAAAAGUAAAACAACCGCACUAACCGCACCUAUUGCUAACCAUAGCUACCCCAAACCCUGCAAUUUCAUAGUGACAUCUUAAAUUGAAGCGGACCACUAAGCAAUACAGACCGGAAGAUAUGCACCCAAUGCAACGCAUAUCAACUAUUAGCAAUGUAACAAGGAGAUACUUGGAUUCUUUGCUUAUUAUAGAUGCUAUAAUGCUCCAAACGCUCAAUAGCUUCUUGAUAGAUAGGUCAGUGUGUCUUUUAUAGGUUUCAAGUAAUGUGGUUGCAUUAGGUGCACAAAUCCCGCUUCCCCCACUAUAUCUAUGUGACCUUUUGUUUCACAAAAUAAAAGAGUUAUACGAAUUUAGAGUUGAGUAGCAGCAAUAAAUUGCAUAAUUAUACCUCGGACUACUAGAAGUCACUGAAUUGGUCCCUUGUGGGCUCAUUGAAAUGUCAAUCCAUGGCCCGCUAUUCAACAUCUUGUGGAAUGAUCCAUUGAGACGAAAAUGCCCAGACGACAUCGUUCCAAACGAAGGUAGAAAUCAUUUUUGACAUUCCAACUAGUUUCGCAAUACUUACCAAAAUUUUUUUUUUUCAAUAACCAGGCAAUCAGCAAAUUAAAAAGGAUAAUUUCAGAAACCUGACAAUUUCACUCAGUGCCCUCAAACUUUAAAAAAUCUCAUUUGGCUCUCUUGUUUUAAACUUUUUGUAACAUUUGAAAUCCAUUUCAAAAUAUAAUAUUAAAAAACUCAUUUUGAGAGAGAGAGAGAGUACAAUUUCAUUCCAAAUUUGUCCUUUCUUGCGAUUUUUUAAUUGUCAUAACACACCAAAUUUGUUGCUUAUUUUUUGUAAAUUGAUUGAUGUAGUUCUUUAAUGAAAAUCUAAGAGUUGGUAACAAGAUCAAAAAAACUCUUUAAUAAUUUUUGUGUCAUUUGUUUGGACAAAAAAUGUUAAAUUACUUAAAAUUAUGAAUCAUUUACACUACUCUUAAAAAUAACUUGCAAUAAUUCAUAACCAUGAGAAUACCUUUUGCAUUAACUUAAAAAUAAUACAAACAAUUAUAUAUAUAAAUUUUAGCAUGUUGUAUCUUUUUAGUCGUCAAACCAUCGAUUUGGACGUCUAAAUUAAAAAAAUAAAAAAAUGUGUAAAUGAUUUAUAAAUUAGCUCAAAACACAUAUAUUUGAAGUAGAGAAAACGUCAACAUUUGCAUUUGGAUUGCGAUUUUCUUAAAAAAAUUUCGUUACUUGUUUCUCUUUGUCCAUGAUACUAAUUGAUAAAUGCUUCACACUUUUCCAGUCUCAGCUCUGUUAGUUAAUCCAAAUGAGUUUUAGAACGAUCUCAAAAUAAAUUGAUCAAUUUGAGUGGGAUCAAAACGUGUGGGGUAAGGUUUUUUUUUUUUUUUUUUUACAUAAUUAUUCAGAUAAAACCAACCCAGGCAGACCCAAUUAUCUUUGUAACUUACAAAAAACUUUGAUCAACUUUCAAAUAUAUUAUACACUCUUGACAUUUUAAAAAAGGGAUAAUUUCACAAAUCUCCCCUAAGGUUUUUAAAAAUUAUAGAGAGCUCCCUGUAGGUUUUAAAAAUUACAUAUACCUCCCUUAUUUUUACUUUUUAGUAACAAUAUAGGUCCAACAAUAUAGUUUUUCUCACAAAAUUCCUAAAUUGCCCUUUAAACUAAGAAAAAUAUAGUAUACUCAAUUAUUUUCUUCAACACUUUGCACAAAUCAAUAAACCUAAUUUUUAGCAAUAAUUCAAGUAUAAGUUUUAAAACUAAAUAGCAGUCCAAAGGAUCCCAAAUUACAUGUAUAGUAUCAAUAGUUGCUACCUAAAAAAAACACACACACACACAAACCCCGUUGACAACCAAUUUUAUAUCCCAAAAUUAAAUAUCAAUGCUCAAAUACAUUUUCAAUACAAAUUAUUCUCACUUAAAACUGCUAUUACAAUCCUUCUAUGGUCUUAAAAAUAUUAAUACCUCAAAUAUAGAAAAUAAAUUCUACCUCCACCAUAAAAUCAUAAUAAAAGAUUUCUAAUCAAAUGAAAUAAAUCCUUAUGUAAUUAUUGACAUUUUAUAAAUUUUUUUUUAAAAAUAAAUAAAAUAUGCUAAAUUCAACAUCUUUAGUUCUUUUUCCUAUUUCAAUUAUCAAUUUCAUUAUUUAUUUCUCUAUCACUAUGACUCUCUUUAUUUUCUUCUAAUUUGACACAUAAUCUACUCCUUCUGUUGAUUUUAUAAUUUUAAUUUGCUAAUAUCCACAAAAUUGAAGAUAAUAAAAAGAAGUUGUAUUAACUAAAAAAGAGAUGAGUGAAAAUAGACAAGAGACAGAAAAAUAAAUUUUUUUGAGUUUUGUAAAUUUAUUGCCUUAAAUUUAAAAUUUUCAACCAAGUAGAGGGCAUUAUAGGUAUUUUACUAUACCAAGAGAGGUAAGUGUAAUUAUCCAUAAAAACAUAACAUGAGCAAUUGAAAGAGGGAGUAGAAGUUUCAAUAAUUCAAUGAUUAUUAUCUAUUUCAAAAGAUAAAAGUUCAAUUAAUUUGAGAUCACAAGCUUGAUUAUUGAGACGCUAAGGAGAUUAUCAUUGUGCGUCUCUAUUUUGAAUCAAGAAGCGAAAUAGCUAAUCUUAAAAGAAGAGGUGUGUUUCUGUUGAGUGAUGAUAAAAUAAACUCAAGUGGGCAAAGUGCAACUUAUCCCUAAUUACAUUGGAGAUUAUUGCUAACUGACCCUUUGCUUUAUUUCAAUUUGAUUGCGAGGAGACAAAAGCAAUUUCUUAUUGCUCUUGGGUGGAUAGUAUGAGCGUAUUGAGAUAAUAGAUUAUUUGAAAUACUUUUUUGAAAAAGAGCACAAUGAUAUUCUUCUAAAUAUAAUAUAUAUAACAUAAAAAGAUAAUUAAAAAAUAUAUUUUUUAAUUAUCUUGAAGUUCAUUAGCAACACAUAAUUAAAAAAUAUGUUGAUAAUAUAAUUAAUAUAUUAUUUGUGACGUGUGUGAGAUAUAUCAGUGCCCACGCAGACAUUCAACCAGAGAACAUGAAGGCCCCGCAACAAAGGCAAUUAAAGUGAAAAUGCCAACCUGUCACCUGCACCUCAAAAGUAGUUUGGGGAAAUUUUAUCCUUUUGGGUCCCACAUAUUUUGUCACAAUCUUGUGAUUAUCAUUCAAAAACGCAUGCCCACCUGAAAAUAAACGCAGGGUCCUGAAAUGGGGCAAAACUUUUGGAACGAAGGGAGUAUUUUAAUUGAGUCAAGUCCAUUUUACUAACUAUGUUUAAUUGGUGUGUAUUUAUAUCAUUAGCAGUUAGCAAUUGUUCUUUUGUACAAAAUAUUCCCUCUAGUGAUUAAUCUACGGGGUGAUGAGUUAGACGUUAGGCCAGUAAGAAUUGUUCUUUUGUACAAAAUUUGAAACUUGAAUUUAGUGUCAAAUAUUGAUUAAUGUGAAAAUAAGAUGGAAAAAAAAGAGAUUAAAAGUAAAUUUGAGUUUAAUAAAAUAAUAAAUAUUUUAAGUCAUUUUAAAAUAAAAAAGUAAAUCGAGAAGGAGGAAAAAAUAAACGAAUAAAAGAGAAACUAGAAGAUGAUGAGUUAGACGUUAAUUAAGCCAGUAAGAAACAGUGACGAGUUAGACCUGCUUUAUUGCACCGUGAUAAGAAGGAAUCAGAGUGCCUUCUUUAUGUCUUAGCUGCAAGUUGAAGGUUGGCUAUAUGCUGCAGAUGCGACAAUUUGUCGGCAAGAAGCUGUGGCUACGAAUUGUCGGCAACUUCCAGGAAGUCACGGUAAAGCGGUAAAAGAAAAGUUCGUUGGUGGCGUCUUUGGAGUGUAGCUUUGCAGAGUGAAGCCGGGGGGCAAAUUGCAAAAAGUGGAAACAUUUGGAAGUGCAAAAAGUUGUGUGGAAAAAUUUUCAGUCCCGCAAGUUUUAGCCUCCACAGAUUUUGCUGCCCUUAGUUGCCAAAGUUGAACCAUAUCCUUCCUUGACUCAUCGCAGAAAGCAUUCCCCCAUCACCAUUGCAGAACACCUUCAUCCUAAUUCCAAUCCCAAGCGAGAAAAAAUGGCUGAUGCUGCUGUUAGUGCUACUAUUCAGGUUGCAUUGCAGGCGGUUGUUUCCCUUGCCGGUGAUCAUGUUAAUCUGGUUCGUGAAUUCCCAACGGAGCUGGAGAGACUCAACAAAUCUGCUGAAAUGAUUCGAGGCUUCUUGGCUGGUGCCGACGAGCAAAUGCAUAGCCCAGUGGUGCAAAAUUGGCUCAAGCAGCUGGAAGAAGAGGUUUUCAAAGCUGACAAUGUGCUGGACGAGCUCAACUAUGAAAAUCUUCGUCGGAAGGUGAAGUAUCAAAAUCAACUCACGAAAAAGAAGGUAUUCUUCUGCUUUUCAUUCUUUAAUAAAAUUGGUUUUCGUUGGAGGUUGGGUUCAAUGAUCAGGGAGAUCAACGCGAACCUUCAAAGGAUCCAUCAGGAUGCCGAAGGUUUGGGACUGGCCUACAAGCACCAAGUUGAAGAAGCAUUCCCUACUAUUGCUGCUGGAUCCACAACAAG
rnacentral:lncRNA from 1 species